rnacentral:lncRNA from 1 species
AGAAGAUCCCUCUCGGAUACAAGACCCCUUUACGGGAAGAUACCCUCGUGGAUUCAAGGCCUCCUCUUGGAGAUGAACGGUUCCGUUGUAUCCUUACCCUAGUUGACUAUGUAUCUUGUGGAUCUCAUGUGUGUAUGUUGAUCUAGCACUUGUGUGAUCGAUUCCUUGUUGGUUGAGUGAUUCCCUCUCGUUUUCCCCGUGUUUCCCCUUGUGCUUCCGCGUGUUCUUCGUGUUUCCUCCGUAGGAUCCCCUCCAAACGUGAAAGAUCGACGAAUUAGGGUUCCACCCUACAUCAUAUGGUAUCAUGAGCCACGUUGAUCACGUUUUUGGAGCCCCUACCCCGUGUUUUCUAGCUUGAUUUUGUUGUUUUCGUCCUAAAUCCGAAAAUCCCCACCAAAAAUAGCCCCAAUUUUUUUUGUGAUUUGUUGGUUUGAUGAUGUUUUGUUGAUUUUGAUCCAUGGAUUUGCUUGGUUUCAAGUGGAUCUAGCUUUCCCCCAAGUUUCCCCACCUUCCAUCCACGAAAUCCCUCAAAUUUUGCCCCGAAAAUCAUCCAUUUCCGCCCAAAAAUUCAUCUCCACGAGCAAAUCCCGAGCAGUUUGACCUGCCCGGAUCAUCCGGACCUUCUCCCGGAUCAUCCGGACAUCCCCCGGAUCAGCUGGACGCCCCCCCGGACGUCCGGAUACCCCACGCACCCAGAAAACAGAACCGGCGCUGACGAACCCGGAUCAUCCGGAAGUACUCCCGGAUCAUCCGGACCUAGCCCGGAUCAUCCGGACCUCCUCCCGGAUGUCCGGUUAACCCUGACACUGCUUCGGCUGAAAUUUUGUUUUGGUCAUAACUAAUUCAUCCGAACUCCGAUUUUGACGUUCUUUAGCUCGUUCUGAAGCUCUUGACACCCCCCAUCCCACAAAAAUACCACCAACAUCAUUUGACUCCAUCAUAUUUUCUGAAAUUUGGCAAGUUUGCCUAGGCCCUCCACCAUAUCACCCGCAUAGCCACCACCGACUUCCGCAACCUAACCCAUUUUUGUUCCCCAUUGCAUAUGUGGUUGUUUGAGUUGUGACUAGAGUCUCCUAAGGUGUUUCGGCUACUUAGGGACAAUUGCUUCUUCAUCAACCACCACCACCACUUCCGCAUAGGCGCGCCCACCAUACACUUCCACCACCCCCAACUUAACCCAAUAGUUGUUUGAGCUUGUUUGAGUUGUGGCUUGUGUCUCCUAAGGUGUUUCGGCUACUUAGGGACGGCAACUUCAACUCCGACACGUGUAUAGCCCAUCAUUCAUCCGCAUUGCCUAGUGCAACACCACCACCGCUUUCCGCUACCACCAUUUGACAUUUGUCAUUUGAGAUUUUGAGUUUGCGGUUUUUCCGUUUCCUAAGGUGUUUCGGCUACUUAGGGACGAGUCUCCAUCUUCUUGGUAUCUACACCAAGAACACCACCACUCAUCAUCGCAAAGGACGGUAACCUCGACGACACCAUUGUAUAUUUCCCUUGCAAUUGCAUUGUUAACCCCUAGCCCAUUUUGCAUCACUUACCUAUCGAGACUAGCCAUUUGAGUAUUGCUGGCAACGUUACUUGUGCACAUUAGUGGUCCAUACCUUCCAUUGCAUACAUACCAUAUCAUAUUGGUAUCAUAUCAUACAUAGUGUCACAAUAUCGUUCCCGCAUAUACACAAUUGCUAUCUUGGUUUGUGCAUUGUGCAAAAGUGGCCUUAGAAAAAAAAGAGAAAAAAAGCUUUUAAGCAAAAAGAGAGCAAAGAGCUCGUGAGCAAGUGCCAUAGCAUCAUAUCCCAUUGCACAUAAGAUUGUCAAAUCUACAUCAUAUGAUAUCAUGCUUGAGAGAAACACCGGGAACCAUACAUACAUAGCAUACUUGGGAUAGAAGUUUAUCCAUUUUGCAUCUUAUAGGUUGUGCACAAGUGUCGUAUCCGCCUAUUGAGCAAUCGUGCUAGCGUCUCUCUUGAGUUGUGCAACACGAGCGUUUUGGUGGAUUCCACAUUUUGAGCUCAUUCCUUGGUUGCACGACCCCAUUUAUCUAUCCGUGUGUGUGUUUCCGUGUGCCAUUCUUUGCUAUUGGUCCAUUUGUUUCACUUGCGAAUUUGUGAAUCUUUUUCAACAUUAUUGACUCUUGCUAACAUUUUGCAUUAAAUUUUUGUGCCACUAUCCUCACCGAGCUCCACUAUAAGCUUUACUUGUGUAGGUGUGAGAACCGACAAGGAUUGGUACCAAUAGUGCUAUUUCAUUGUCCACAUUUGAGUGAACUUGAUUCAUCUUCAACUUUGGUCAAAGGUACAUUGGUAUACGUUCUUCUCUUUCUCCCACUCAUAUUUGCUCGAGUCUUGUGAUGGAUAGGCAAGGCAUUCCCUCUCCGGUCUACGACAACAACGACGGCGUGAACAACUACAUCUCCAAAGCGUCUAUCUUCGAUCAUAAACACAAAUGCAAGGCGCACAAUCAAGAUUGCGAGAGUGCAUCGAGAACAUAUCCAUCGACAUUCGUCACUCCGAAGCAAGGAAAAGGGACUACAUCGACAAGAAGCUUGCCGCACAUAAAGAGGAGCAAGAUCCAAGGAUGGAGGAGAUUAGAGCUUUGAUCAAGUCUUCUUCCACUUCAUCAUCCUCAAGACGACGACGGUCAAGCCACAAGUCUUCGGAGCGCGAAAAAGAUGCAAGUGCAAAUCAUCCUCGUCCACAUCUACAUGGCGAUCAUCAUCACGUUCACGAUUCACAUCGUCAUGAAGGCCAAGUCACCUCCAAGCAACAUGUGCAAGACGACGACGAACGACAUCUACUACGAGCUCAAGCACGACAACGACAUCAUCAUCAUGAAGAUGCUCCACAAGCGCAAAUGCACAAGUCCCAACAAGACCUACUUCACGCCAAGUCCAAGCUUCAAGAGCACAAAAGAAGACCGCGAGACGACAACCACCAAGACGGCGCUACGGCUACAUCAACCACUUCGGCAUCUUCGCCAAGUGUUCUCAAGGCAUCUUCACCUUUGGACGUAUGGCAUCUUCGCCUACUUCCCACGAGUACGGCUACAUCGACUUCAUCAAGUCCAAGGCGACUACCUACGAAAGAGGGUGACACUUCCAUCUUUGGAAGCCCCUCAAGGACGAUGGCCGAGCAUGGGACAUUCCCUUCGGUCAUGGAGACGAGCUAUGAGGUGCCACAUCAUAUGGGCCUCCAACCACAAGACGGUGACAAGAAGGUUGAGCAUGGGACUAUCCCUUCAACCAAGGCGACGAUCGGAGUUGAGCAUGGAGACAUUUGCACCUACAUCCCUCCGACACCCACAUAUGUCGAGAUGCCCCAAGUGCCAUGUGAGGAGAGCCACCACCCCAUGAGUGACAUGAGUGACUUCACCAUACGUGACAUUGAGAGCAUUUCCUAUGAGAGGAUGAGUGUGACCACCACUAGCCCCACACAUGAGAGCAUGCCACACAUCCUAUGUGAGGUUGAGCGCCAUUUGAGUGACUCCACCAACCAUGUGAGUGAGAGCAUCCUUGAGGGAGGGAGUGAACCACAACACUUAGUGAGUGAGAUAGUUGACACGGCAUGUGAGGCCACUUUGAUUUCUAACGACUUAACCUCUACUCCUAGUGUGUUUUCUUCUUUGGUGCUAGGUCUCCUACAUGACGAGAUGCCUAUCCUCGACGAGUCCAUCCCUCCAAUGGAAACACCGAUGGCCAUGGUGGAUGAUGAUGCACCCCCCACAUGGUUCCAUCAAGAUAACGAUGACCAUGACUUGAUCUUCAACACCUCACCUACAACACAUGAGCGGCGCUCCAAAGGUAACAUAGGUGAUGGUGAUUCUCUUGUUCCACUAGUGGACUCUCUUGACAUUGAUUGCUCCCAUGAUGUUGACCCACCUAUUGCCAUGCUUCAUGCUAGUGAAACUUCUUCAUGCCUUGACUUACCUAUUUAUGAUGAAUAUGAUGAUGAGCAUGUUGAGUUGCCUAGUUGUGAUGCUAUGCUUCAUAGGAUAAAAUGUGAAAAUUCUAUUGGUCACUUCAUGUUUGACAAUCAAAUGAACUUGUCAUAUGCUAUGAGUGAGAUCUCCCAUAUUGCAUCAUUUCAAUCUCAACAUAGUAACUAUGCAUGCCCCAUUAAAAUAAAUCCUAUUUGCACUUAUGGCAUAGAUGACGAGAUGAUGGUCAUUGGCUUUUGUUUUUCAUGUGAUGAUAUUGCCAUGCUUCCUUUACAUGAUUUGCGCAAUUCAUCCAAUAUGUCAUGCCAUGAUCACAUUGCUCCAAAUAUGCAUUGUUUUGGAUGUUGUCAAUAUUCUCCACGUGAUGUUGCUACUCAUGCUCAUGAGGAGACCCCCAUAGUUUCCUCAUACAUAUUAGGAGAUCUUGAUGCAUUUCAUACUUUGCAUGAUUCCCAUGAUAGUAUGCACCAUAUGCAUUCCAUGAAUAACAAUGAUCUAGAUAUUACUUGUGAUGCAUUACAUCCUUUGAGUCUCCAUUAUGACAUACAUCAUAACAAACCUAUCAUUAUGGAUGACAUGUUUCUAUAUCACGCAUCUCAUUUAUUUGAGAAUUGGAUAUUUGGUGCUAACCAACACAAGCACGUAUGCAUCAUGAUGGAUGAUGUGUACAUCUACCACGCACACACAAUUUUCCCUUUGCCCUUGUUUUGUGUAGGUACUCAUGUAUACUCGUCGACCUCUCAAUCCCAAGAGUUGACGAAACGAGCUCUUGAGAGCAAUGAUGACUUGGGAUCCCGAGGACUAUCCUUACCACCGUCCCCUUCGUGCAAGGACUACGCGCAACUCCUCUACUUGGCUCUCACACGGCUAUGGGCCAGUUACCAUUUGUCACCUUAUGCUCAUUUUACCGUGUUCACUUUGCAUGCUAUGCUAGCUUCUAUGCCUUUGCCAUGCAAUUGUGACCCUUGCUUGCAUUUACCCAUGAUGAACCAUUAUGAUAUCCCAUUGUGUAUUUGCAUGCUUGGUGGAGAUCCUUGUUGCUAUUGCCAUGUUUAUCAUGUGCCCCAUACUAUUGAUACUUGUUGUGUUGGGAGAGUCAUGAUGCCCCAUUGCUAUUUACAUAUGGUCUCUCGCCAAUACAUUGAUGACAUUUUACUCAUAUCUUGCUUUCAUGCUUGCGCUAUGACAUGUGAAGUAUUCAUGCCCACUAUUUGCACACAUGACAUGCUUGCCAUGAUUCCUUCUAGUAUGUUGCAUCUUCGCACAACUAGCUGGCUUGACUUGAUCACUAUGAUUGCUUGCUAUGUUGCAUCACCCAUGUUCCACUAUUACUUGCUUUCUUGGGUUGAUGACAUAUAUGCUCAUGCCUCACACUUGAUUUGUCAUGAUCAUUGUCUCUUGUCUCCAUUAGUUGCAUAUAUUGAGUGCCAACUUGCUAUGCUUCUUGAUCUCGGAGACUUGGACACUAUACUUGUGAUGCAUGCUUGUUUGAUUGAGCCUCUUGUAUUUGGAUGUUCUUACAUAAUAUGCCUCCAUACUUUGAAAUGCUCCCUUGUACUUUCUUAUGAUGAGCACGAUGCAUACACUUGUUGGGUAUCUUACCACACGAAUGAUGGGUUUUGCCAUUUUGCUACCCUCAUUUGUUUUUCCAAGUGUUUGUCAUGUUCUUUCAUUUUGAAGGAUUUACAAGGCGGGACCACCACGAGACAUAUUGGUUAUGCGAAGGCAUACAUGAUGUGCGACACCAACAUUUUCGACAUUCUCAUAAAGGUGAACUCCUUCUCUUUGAGCCAUCCUCAAAUACGCAUAUUGGAUGGGUCUCUCUUUCAUUGUUGUUUCCUUCUUGUUGUCUACAUGAUACAUCUCGUGAACGGAGGAGCGACAUUGGAGAUUAGCUACAUGGACCUUCACCUUGAGGAGCGCUCACACUUCUUGGAUGCACCUUCGACACUCCACUCAUGCCUCGACAUCGAGCUUUGGUACACCAACACCUUCAUAUUUGUUGAUUAUGCUCAUACAUGUCAGGCUCGAUGGACAUAUCAUACUUACCACAAGUUUGCACCUCAUGCGUGGACUGACUCACAUUAUGAUUGCCUUGUUGCAUCUUGUAUUCCCAUGUCAUCCAUGAUAUAUGAGCUUAUGCAUUUCCUUAGCAAAUUUGUUGUGGUCUACCUCGAUGGCAUAUUCAUAUAUCAUGAUCAUAUUGUCCAUCAUCAAUUGCAUGAUAACUUAUACAUAUUGAGCAUCCAUUGCCAUAUUCAUGCUAUUGAUAAACCGUCCCUCUAUGACAUCAUUUUGCACAAUGGUAGAAUUUGUCACUUUGUGCACCAUGCUAAUUAUCCCAUGAAUUCUUUGCAUAUCAUUCUAUAUCAUCUUGAUAAGCAUCAUGCGCUUUGUCACGCACUAUCCCUUCGCACGGACUCACACUUAAUUGAUGGACACUUUGUGCGCGCUAACCAUUGUAUUUCCAAGUGUACUUUGUGUUUGCUCAUUUUGCAUGUACCACAUACCGGAGACACCUUGGAGUACUUGGAUUGCGCAAGGCCUUCACCUACGUCCCACUACAAGUCCGUCCACGACACCCGUUUCCAUGGUGAUGAGGAUCACGAUCCGAGGUCGGAUCUUUCCCAAGGGGGGGGGAUAUGAUGUGGAGCAUCCCACGUUCAUCCCCAUGUACACUCCGACUACUCUCCAAGCCCCAAGGAUACAUAAGAUGAGACCGCGACUAUGCGCCAUUGGACACAAGGUGAAUUCACUCCUCUUCGAACCGUCACUUUCCGCAUGUGAAGCACGGCUACUACCUCAUGCAUGGACCUUGCCUAUACUCAGGUACAACCGAGAUGAUCAUGGAGAGUCCAAGGAUCAAGGCCAAGCAUGGAAGAGGAGAAGGAAGAAGAAGACGGAGCGGCUGCUGAAGCCAGGCCGGACAUCCGGACCGCAGUCCGGAUCAUCCGGGCCCAGCCGGAUCAUCCGGACCACCGUCCGGAUCAUCCGGGCCCAGCCGGAUCAUCCGGACCCUCCCCCGGAUCGUCCGGGUAGCUGCGCCAUAGACAACAGAAGCUCCUCGACGAAGCCGGAUCAUCCGGACGGUCGCCCGGAUCAUCCGGACCCCCGACACCCGGAUCAUCCGGGCCACCAUCCGGAUCAUCCGCACCCCGCCUGUGUGCGCGACUUGGGCUGAGCCCAUGUACCCCUUCGCCCCCUAGUCUAUAAAUAGGACCCCCGCUCCUCACUUUGGGACUUAGCGUUGGUUUAGCUCAUGUUAGAGAUAGAGCUACGCUCAUCUAUCGGAUCUCCUCCUCGUGAGAGACCGCGGCCUCCGUCUAGGAGAAGAUCCCUCUCGGAUACAAGACCCCUUUACGGGAAGAUCCCCUCGUGGAUUCAAGGCCUCCUCUUGGAGAUGAAUGGUUCCGUUGUAUCCUUACCCUAGUUGACUAUGUAUCUUGUGGAUCUCAUGUGUGUAUGUUGAUCUAGCACUUGUGUGAUCGAUUCCUUGUUGGUUGAGUGAUUCCCUCUCGUUUUCCCCGUGUUUCCCCUUGUGCUUCCGCGUGUUCUUCGUGUUUCCUCCGUAGGAUCCCCUCCAAACGUGAAAGAUCGACGAAUUAGGGUUCCACCCUACAUCACUUGGAGUCCAACCAAUGAUGAUAGUUCGGCUAUCCGGACACCCCCUAGUCCAGGACUCCCUCAGUACCCCUGAACCAGGCUUCAAUGAUGACGAGUCCGGCGUGCAUAUUGUCUUCGGCAUUGCAAGGCGGGUUCCUCCUCCGAAUAAUCCAUAGAAGAUUUUGAACACCAGGAUAGUGUCCGGCUCUGCAAAAUAAAUUCCACAUUCCACCGUAGAGAGAAUAAUAUUCACACAAGUUCUAUCUGCUGACGUAUUUCGUGGCAUGACGUCACACCACGGCCAAGUCUUUACUCGAAUCGUUUUUAUUGUUCCACCUCAGCGCGUUUAGCGAAGCGGUUUCCUUGGCACAUCUUGUCAAAGCAGAGAUCAUGUCCCCUUAUUCCGGGAUUCUCAUCAAUACGUACGUGGGUAACCCAACUGCGCCCGUUGGCUCGCCCCCUCCAUCGAAGGCGAGUCCCAAACGGUUACGGGGACGACUCUUGGUAUUCAACCCCUUUAUAAUGAGACCAAGGCCUGUUCCUUUUCUUCAAUCUUCAAUCGAAUCCGCCCCUCACCCCGAGUUCCAACACCCAAGGCUCCAGAUUCAGGCGCUUCGGACCUUUGACAAUGUCCGGCUCCGACCUACAGGGCCGGUGGAUGCCCUCUUCUGUCACGGAAGAAGAUGUGCUAAAGCUGAGAGACGCUAGGUAUCUAACUGGCGAAAUUUCGCAUAGGCUGCCCGUCCAAGGGCAAGUCAUUCCCACUCCUGAGCCUGGUGAGAGCGUGGUGUUCGUGUCUGACUUCCGUCGGGGUUUAGGCUUCCCGGUGGACCCCUUCGUGAGGGGGCUCAUGUUUUAUUAUGGGCCGGAAUUCCAUGACUUGGAUCCGGAGUCCAUCCUCCACAUCUCAUCGUUCAUUGUCGUAUGCGAAGCCUUCCUCCACACCACUCCUCACUUUGGAUUGUGGCUGAAGACCUUCAACAUGGAGCCGAAGAUGAUCGAGGAGCGGCAGGCAGAGUGCGGAGGGGCAGUUAUAAGCAAGAGAGCUGACGCUCCGUGGCCCGAGGGCUUUUUUCAAAAGGAGCUCGGUUUGUGGCAACAGGAGUGGUUCUACAUCACCGCUCCCAGGGGCACCAGAUUGGUGGCGCCGCCUGCCUUUCGCUCGGGCCCUCCACAACGGCUGGCGUCAUGGGUCAACAAAGGGCUUGACUGGGGGCCGUCCAAGGAUGUGCCAUUAUUGCAGGGCCGUAUUCGAGACCUCCAAGAGAGGGAGAUCAAUCUGGUUGUGGUGGCGCAGGUCAUGCUGAUUCGGCGCCUUCUGCCCUGCAAACGUCGCCCCCUCCGCCUGUGGGUAUUCAAUCCGGAGGGACCGCGAGCUCUCCAACACUUCAUGGGUGCGACGCCCGUGGAGAUGUAUAAACUGUUCCUCGGAUCACAAGAGAUGUGUCCGGACCUGACCGAGGACGCAGGCCUGAGCUGCAAAAGCCCGGAUACUCAAGUAAGUAGUCCUGUGCCCGGACAUGUUGUCCAUGCAUUUAUCAUAAACUUGCCCUUUAACCAGCUAUCCCUUGAACAUGAGUGGAUAGCAAAAGCAAAACUGAUACGGUGUUCGGCCCCCCUCCCUGAGAUCACGCCGGAUCCCGUGUUAAUCAAGAUGCUGGAGGCUGCGCCUUCGGAAGAGGGCGAAGGGGAAAACAGGAAAGCUACCGCCUCCGCUAGGGAGGCUCUUAAGAAAGGGGGGAUCGAGAAUCCCUCCUUCCAGGGGGAGAAGAGGACCGCUUCUAAAGAUCCGGAGGCCAAGGCCUCAAAGCGGGGGAAGAAAUCUUCAGCAGAGGGCCCUGCGCUAGGAGAAGCCCCGGCCGCACUGUUUCCCCAAGGGAAUCAGCCCUCCAGCGAGCCGUAAGUAGAAAGGGGAGUUUUGUAAUAAGGGAUAUCCCUAUUUUUAUUUCUGAAGAUAACCAAAGUUUUACCUUGUAGUUCGGAUCUCAGCCCUUCUCAGCAGAGCUCAUCUUCGGGGGAUCUUCGUCCGGAGAUGAUGGAGAGUGAAACGCCUCCAUCUGCCACACCGUUAGGUGGGGCAGACGACCCUGAGGUGUCGUCGUGGAGGGUCUCCCCGAGUCCGGCGGGGCCGGAGAGUUUGGCACCAACUGGUGUACGGCCGGAGGAGCUGAAGGAUCUGCUCGGGCGUGCGUCUAUCUCAGAAGAUCACCGUACGUUGAUGAGUACGGUGAUUGAAAGGAUUUCAUCCGCUCAGAGCGGGUUGCAUGAGGCCGUCAGAAGUUUACUGACGGGUUUUGAGGUACGCGAAAAUGAUAUACCGUUUGACAGUUUUGCACAUAGAAUGCGCCCUGUAUAGAUAGUAGCCCUUGAGACUCGGUACGUUGUCAAAAGCGACAACGUGUCGAGGAUCAUAAUCUCAGUUAUAAGAUUUCGCCCUUCCUAUUCAGGUGGCGGAGCGUUCGGUGGCCAGCCGGACUGAUAGAGUUGCCGAACUGAAGCGGCAACUUGACGUUGCGGAUGCGGACAUCACGCUGGUCAAUAAAUGACUUGAUGAGUCACAAGGUAUGUGGCUUCUCCGCGGACGCCUUGUAAGGGAGAUUGACGCCCGUGCCUUACAACAUGUAUGCUUAAUGCAGAUGGCGCCGCUGCUAUGGAGGACCUUCGGGCGGAGCUUGCCCGAGCCAAGGAGCAAGCCAGAAAAAGUAAUGCGGCUGCCUUGAAGGCGGCCGAAGAGCUAAAAGCCGAACAGGCUGCUCACUGCCGAAGCAGGGAGGAAAUGGCCGAAAUGGCCGUGAAGCUGAAGGAUGCUACCGACCGCUAUGAGUUUCUUAAAAGAGAACGCCGAGCGGAGCAAGAGGACCUGAAGAAGGCCACCGCCGAAGCCAAGGAUGCCCGCUCCGCAAUGAGGGCUAUAAAGGAGGAGCUACGUCAGGCCGGGGAUAUUGCGGCUGGAAAGCCUUUUCUGCUGCGUAGGAAAUUCAUGGAUCCGAAGUAUGCUCAGUUGGGCCAGUUGUGGGGUGCGGAUGAUGCUUAUCUGAAUUUGGCGGCGAGUGCCGCAGACGCAGUCGCACACUUCCAGGGCCAAAAGGAUCACGGAAUGGAAGAGCUUUUUUGGUCGCAAUUCCAUAGUUCGGAGCAUCCGCUUCCAUUAACCGAUCGGUUAGCCGAGUGGGCUGAGCUGAAUAGGUUGUCCAGACUUGCCAUGAAGGAUGUCGUGGCUCAUUUGUGGCCGAAAAGGCCCGAGCCGAAGAGUUAUUUUGGCUUGGUGCAGCAGUUCCUUGAUGCGGUGCCGCAUAUCAAGGCGAUGAAGCGGUCAGCAUGCAUAGAGGGUGCACGGAUGGCUCUCGCCCGUGUCAAAACAUACUGGGCAGAGAUGGAGGCCACCGACGUUGCAUCCCAGGACUCGGACAGAAGCCGGUUACCAACCGAGCACUAUUUUGAGGAAGUCCUGCAGGGCGCUCGUUUAAUAGAGUCGUAGUGCUCGAAAAACGUUAUGUUCAAAUGACAUGUAUGAUUUGUGAAACCAUGUUUCAAAUAUAAUAUAAGGGCUUUUUAUACUUGGGCGUUCAAGUGUUGAAAUACCUCCUGUGCGGCCGUUAACGUAUAUGUAUAUAUAACCUGAAAGAUGGCAGUCCUCGGCUUCAGCCCCCACGCACAUAGUGCGGGGGUGUUUGCAAAAAAAGCGCAUUUUCACACUUAAUUCAACGUCUUGGUCCUGUGAAGGAGGUGAUAGAGUAGCAAACUAGGUAACCAGACUAUAAUGCUUUAUCACUUUCACUUAGCCAUAAGAGUUCGAUGGUGGGGCUAGUAUAUAGCCCCUAGGGGCACUGCGCUCUCCGAAUUUCGGGGCGCGUAUGUGCCUGACCGAGAAACGGUCCUUUGUUAAAGCGGAGGAAUUCUAAACAUUCCGGUGGUUGAUCGAGUGGUUGACCAGUCUCUCGCUAUAUCAUGACAGUCUGUUUUCGGCUUUCUCUACUGAGGUGCUCACCUGGGCGAACCGGGGCACAAUCGCAGUAGUUCUCCUGGUGCCGCGUUAGCCGAUAGAGCGGAACGUAAGGCAGCAAAACACAGGAGCCGGGCAAACCCAACAUUUGACCAAAGACAUGAUUCGGAGCUGAUGCAUAUAAGGCCUAACUCGAGACGCCGAACACUCCCUAAGGUAUUCGGUCUUUAUGAAAAUGGGCAGAACAAUGCCCUAAGCCCCUAGUGUCCAGGUACGCGCAAAAAUUUCUGACGCGGCCGAUGCCAAAACGCCAGAUUCCUCCUCGGUUAUAGCAAAAAACCGGGGGAUGUGUAUCAACAAGAGACAGUAAAAAAGCUUUACGCAGGGUCUUAAUCUGAAAAGAAUCCUUUCAUCGGGUCCCUACUGCACGUCUGCGCCUGUGUCUCCGUUGUGCCGUAUCCCGGACGGGUGUCGCACGGUGUUCAUCUGUAAAAGAGAAGAACUUAGUUGGAAAAGAGUCCGUGCGAAAGAUGUUUUUUGAAAUAAAUAGAGUAUGAUUCAAAGAAUGAAUAAAAUUGAGCUUUAUUGUCUCUUUUUGUGCAUGCGUGGAGCCCCUUGUAAAGGGGUAUGCGACUAGUAAGCCCCUUGUUUAUUUAUACCGGACUCGCCUAACCGUGUCCGGGGUCUGAAUGACCUGUUUAGGGGCUUUGAUCAGCAAAGCCGGAUUAGUGUGUGGCUGUCAAGGCAGUCUCACGUUCUUCCGUAGUCGAGGAACACUCGAAGUUACCCUUUAAUGAGAUGAUGCCGCGUGGACCGGGCAUUUUAAGUGUAAGAGACACGUAAUGCGGUAUUGCGUUAAAGCGGGCGAAAGCUUCGCGUCCCAAUAGUGCUUGAUAGCUACUUUUAAAUGGGGCGAUGUGGAAGAUUAACUUUUCGCGACGGAAGUUGUCGGAUGAACCGAACACAACUUCUAGUAGUAGGGAGCCCGUACAAUUGGCAUAUGGGCCUGGCGUCACUCCUUUAAAGGAAGUGUUGCUAUGGCGAAUUUUGGUUGGGUUUAUCCCCAUUCUGCGGAUUGUGUCCCGGUAUAGCAGGUUUAAAUCACUGCCGCCGUCCAUUAGGACUUGUGUAAAUUGUAGUCCGUCGAUUAUAGGAUCCAAUAUCAAAGCAGUCCAUCCUGCAUUUCGGAUACUUCCGGAGUAAUCCUGAUGGUCGAAAGUUAUUGGUUUUGACUCCCAGUUUUGGGACUUCGCUGGGGUGAACCGUGCGGCGCGUACUUUGGUGGGCGCCACUCUAUUUUUCCCUGUUAUCACUUGAAGUGAAUUUACUGUUUUGACCUCUUGUAGGAAAUUCUUUUGUUUUCCGGUGCUCUGCUUGUGGGGUUCAUCAUCGUCCCCACUUGGUGUGUCGAGCCUCUUGUGUUCGGCGUUAAGUCGGCCGGACUGCUUGAAGACCCAACAAUCUCUGUGGGUAUGGUUUGCAGGCUUCCCGGGGGUACUGUGGAUUUGGCAUAUCUUGUCCAAGAUUUUGUUUAGGUUAGAUAGCUCAUCGCUGUUGUCCUUGAGAGGCAGUGUUUUGUUAUUCUGCCGAGAGCUUUUGAACCCGGCGUUGACUGCCGUUCUCUUUGGGCCAUUUUCCUUAGUCCGGCACUGGUCCUUUCUGCGUCGUGGUUUCCCAUUUCCAUCCCUGACCUCGGAUGUACUUGGGUCGCUGGUGCUGCAUCUUGCCAGCCAGCUAUCCUCUCCCGCGCAAAAGCGGGUCAUGAGGCUUGUUUGUCCAGCCAUUGUUCUUGGCUUUUCCUGGCCGAGGUGUCUGGCGAGCCAUCCGUCUCAGAAGUUAUUCUUGAAGGCUGCUAAGGCUUCGGCGUCCGGACAGUCGACUAUUUGGUUCUUUUUGGUGAGGAACCUAUUCCAGAAUUUGCGGGCUGACUCUCCGGGCUGUUGAGUUAUGUGACUUAAAUCUUCUGCAUCUGGAGGGCGGACAUAAGUCCCCUGAAAAUUUGCCCGAAACGCAUCCUUGAGCUCUUCCAAACUUCUAAUGGUAUUUUCUGGGAGACUUUUGAGCCAAUGCCGGGCUGGCCCUUUGAGCUUGAGGGGUAAGUAUUUUAUGGCGUGGAGGUCAUCUCCUCUAGCCAUAUGUAUGUGCAGGAUGUAAUCCUCAAUCCAAACUCCAGGGUCUGUUGUUCCGUUGUAUGCCUCUAUAUUUACGGGCUUGAAUCCCGUUGGAAAUUCAUGAUCCAGCACCUCAUCGGUCAAACAUAGGGGGUGUGCAGCGCCCCUGUAUUUGGGUGUGCUAUAAUUUUCAAAUACUCGACGUGUUGUGUUGGCUUCUGGAGCUUGCUUUCUUCGCCCAUAGAUGGAUCUGACCGGGCCAUCCUUUUUGCGAGGAUCCUUAUGUGGAUCACGUGCCGGCUUGUGUGCGGUGCCGCUUGCCGCUCUUUGUUUGUCAUGUGGUCGUCUAUCCGACCGGGCGGCCUCUUUGUUUUUUGAUUUUGGGGGCUCUAAGGCCUCCUCGUCAAAUUCGGGCAAUAGUUUGCGCUUCGGGUAGCUCUUUGCUUGGCGACUAUCGCCGUAUUUGUCCGCGGUCUUGAGUACUUUGCUCCAUCUCAUUCUGAGUACGUCUUCCACUGUUUUGAGCUUCCACUUUUGCUUCUUCAGACUUCGUGCAGCGGUGACGAGCCUUUUGUGGAGGUUCUUCUGCUCCAGCGAUGUGUCCGGCGUGAGAUCAUCCGGACUGUUGUUUUCGUCGGGGAUGGGUUGCCUAUCCAAUUCAUCCUAUUAGGAUGGUUGCUUGGGGGCAUGUUCGUCGUCCACUGGUUCGCCCUACUCUAUGGCUGGGUCUGUAUGGGUGCUGUCGUUGUCGAGGCGGGACUUUGGGCGGCGCUUGCGUCGCCGUUUCGGCUGUUUUCGGGGGAAUUAUCCUUCGCAGCGUCCCGUUGUUCCUCGUUAUCGCUUCCUUUAGGUGUAUCCACCAUAUAUAUAUCAUGAGUUGAGGUGGCUUUCCAGUUGAGGGAGUCCUGGACUAGGGGGUGUCCGGAUAGCCGAACUAUCAUCGUGUCACAUCCCUAGUUCUGGCCUAACCUAUGCUAGCUUCCAUGUGAGCAUCAUGUUUAAAUUCAAAUGAAACUUGAAUUGAGGAAUUUUCAAAAGCCUCAAAAAACCUCUAAAAAUAACCAACAUUUAAAUCUUCUCAAAUGAAUCCAAGAAAAUGUUCCUAUUAUUCUAUAUAAAUAUUGGUAAGAGGUAAAAUUCAAACCAAUAUUUUUGGAGUCAUAGAAAUAUUUAUUUUGGCCAUUUGAAUUAAUCCAAUAACUAUUUGCUUUGGAUUUAUAUUUAAUAUAUAUUAAAUAUGACUCCAAUAAUUCUGGAAGUUUGUGAGUGGCUUUGUAUAUAUUUUAGCAAGCCACAUAAUAAACUACAGAAUUUAUUAAAAUGAUUUAGUUGCUAAACUAAAUCAAAACAGAGGAAGAAAAAUGGAAAACAGAAACUAAAAGAGAUAGAGAGAGAGAAGGACUACCUGGCGCUCACCUCUCAGCCCACCGGCCCAGCUCCUGUUUCGGCCCAGCCCACCAUCGCCUGGCUCCCUGUCGUCUUCCUCCUUGGACAGAAGGACAGGGGCGCGUGCUCGCCGCCUGCUGGCCACGCGCAGGCCACCUCCACCCUGCCUGCUUCACUCCCCCGACGCCCUGAACACGCCACGCACCCCCCCGGGCCCCUCUCUCUCUCCCCGUGCCCUCUCCCUCCUCUGUCUCUCUCCCUCGCCCAUUCCCCGCCAUGGCCGAAGCCUCCAUGGACGCGUCGCCGUAACUCCGCGCCCACAGCCACCACCCCGCCUCGCCGACGCCCCAGGAAGCUCCGCCUCGUCCCCCUCUUCAUCCUCACCCCGACGAAAGGCGCCGGAAGCCCCUGGAUGCCGCCAGCUCCAAUGUUCCCCUCCUCGGCCACCGAGGAUCGCCGCUGUUGAUUUGCCACCGUCUCCACCUCCCCGAGCUCGCUGAGACCAUCUCCGACCCCGCUGUGAGCUCCUGCCCCUUCUCCCCCUCUCCGUUCUCGCUCCCACACGCCGUAGCCGUCGCCCCCUUGUUGACCGAAACCCGCCGCUGCCCGCGCUCGUCGCCGGUGAUGCUCCGGUGACCAUUUGGUCCCGGGCAUGCGCCCAUCAUACUCACCGCACCACGUAGACGCCGUAGGUGCUAAUUGCACAUCGCCACGGCCGCCGCAACAGCGUCCCCGCACGCCCCCAAGCUCCGGCCGCAGCAAAGCUCGUCGCCGGUGCCUCUGUAGGCCACCCCAGCUCCAGCCGCCUCCUCCACUGCAUGCGCCACUCCGCCAGCUCCCGUUAGAUGCUCCCCGCGCGCCAAACCGGACCCCGUAGCGAAAUCCCGAUGCCCUCCGCCGCGUUUUGGUCGCCGCCGGCAGAACUCCGGCAAAGCCGACGUGGCGCUGUCAUUAGCCACUAAUGACGCCCUAACAAACCCCCUUAGCUCACUGACACCUGGGCCCCACGCCCUAACUAAUCUGGGUUUAAUUUCUGUUUAGAUUAGUUUAAUAAGGCGGGACCCACCAGUCAGAGUUGACUAUGCUGAUAUGUCCGUUGACCCGACCCCACCUGUCAGUGUCUCUAAACACCACCGUGUCACUGACCAGUGGACCCCACUAGUCAGGUUUGACCCGGACUAGCCCCAGUUGACUUGAUGACGUCACACCAACGUCAUGCUGACGCAGUUAACCAUUCUCUGGAUUUAAAAUAAUUCAGGAAAUUUCAGAAAAUAGUAUAAACUUCUAAAAAUCAUAGAAAUUCAACCGUAACUCCAAAUGAAAUAAAUUAUAUAUGAAAAAUGAUCAGAAAAAUCCAAUCUAUCCAUCUGUACCAUUUUCAUGCAUGUUAGAACAACUUAUAGCUGCUGUUUAGCACAAAUCAAUUAAAUGGCAUUUAAACUCCCACAUAUGGAGUUUGAAUUUGAACCUAGUGUUCAAACCAACUCCAUUUAACCUGCUACUUGUUGCAUUAGCCCAAAACACAUUCAUAUUGCCAUGUCAUAGCAUGCAUCAUAUUGCUGCAUAUCGCCAUGUGUUGAUUGUGUUCUUUCUGUGUUUGCCGGUGGUUGUUCCCUCUCGAUAGACGUGGGUUCGACGAUGAGAUCGAUGACACCGAUGAAGAGCUAUAUUAUCUUCAGAAGUGCCAGGCAAGCAAAACCCCCUUGUUCAUUCCGAUAUAAUCCCACUCUCUCGCUCCUGCUCUCUUUUACUGCAUUAGGACAACAACGAUUCAACUGUUACUUGCUGCGGUAGCUGAACCCCUUUAUCCUUUGCAUGACCUGUCAUUCCACAGUAAAUAGAUGAAACCCACUAGCAUGAGUAGGAGUUGUUUGAUCCCUGUUGUGCCUACUCAUUCAUGCUUGUUUGUCAUGCCUGCUACUGCUUAGAGUUGAGUCAGGUCUGAUUCAUCAGGGGGAAUCAGAGGUGUGUGAACAUGUCCUACUGUGUGUGAGCUAAGUGUGUGAACACGAUUUGGUAAAGGUAGCGGUGAGAGGCCAUGUAGGAUUACAUGGUGGGUUGUCUCAUUGCAGUCGUCCUCAGGAACUGAAUUCUGUGUUUGUGAUCCAUAAUACAGUUACUACCACGCAUUGGGCCCGAAACCAAUGGACCCUUUCGGCUUCUUAAUCACCCUUGUCCUCUGUCCAGGAGUUGCAAGUAGUUUCUGGUGUUUGUAGUAUGCUGGAGGCCGUGGGCAGCGCUGACCGGAGGGGUGGGCUGUGAUGCGGUAGGCACGUGGCCGGGUUACCGGGCGCCCGUUUGGUGUCACGGAACCCUGCUCACAUCAUUUGGGGCUGUGAGCGAAACCCCGGCCGGAUCUCCUCAUGGAUGGAACCCGAAUAGGCGAUAAACCUGGACUAGAGACUUGAGUGUUUAGGUAGGCCGUGGCCGACACCCACGUUGGGCUUCCGCUUGAAGGUUGCCGAGUACAUGUCGUGUAAACAGCGGUAAGUGGUGAGAGCGUGUGUGAAGAAGUACACCCCUGCAGGGUUAACAUCAUCUAUUCGAAUAGCCGUGUCCGCGGUAAAGGACUUCUGGGUUGCCUGUACAGUUCAUAGACAAGUGAAAGUGGAUACUUUAAAAUGCGCAAGAUAAGCGUGAGUGCUAUGGAUGGCGUUCUCGUAGGGAGACGGGAGUGGAUCCAUAGUGGUGUAUUGGUUGGUGAAUAUGUGGACUCGUGGUCGUCAAAAGUAAACGCGUCGAAACUCUAGUAGACGACUUGAGGGUCACAUUUGACAACCUUCGAGAAUAUGAUAUCAAACUGAAUCCGGAAAAAUGCGUUUUCGGCGUGCCAGCCGGAAAGCUCCUGGGCUUCAUCGUAUCCGGUAGAGGAAUUGAAGCAAAUCCGGCCAAGAUCCAAGCUCUAUCACAGCUGGAUAUUCCAAAAAACCUCAAACAGAUCCAGAAAUUGACGGGAUGCAUGGCGGCCCUCAGCCGCUUUAUCUCCCGCUUAGGAGAAAAGGCAUUGCCCCUCUAUCGCCUCCUCAGGCACACCGAACACUUCGAGUGGACGGAUGCUGCCACCGCCGGACUCGAAGAAAUAAAGGCCAUAUUGGCAACGAAUCCGGUCCUGGCUGCGCCCAACCUGGGCGAACCAAUGCUGUUAUACAUCGCAGCAACACAUCAAGUUGUAAGCGCGGUACUCGUCAUCGAACGAGAGACAGAAGGGCAUAAAUUCCCUCUUCAAAAACCAGUGUACUACGUAUCCACUGUGUUAACCCCCUGCAAGUCCCGUUACCCACACUAUCAGAAGAUCGCGUAUGCAGUGUUCAUGGCAUCCCGGAAGCUCCGACACUACUUUCAAGAGUGUUCGAUAACAGUGGCCUCUAAAGUACCACUCAAUGACAUUAUAAACAACCGCGACGCAACGGGCAGGAUUGCAAAAUGGGCCAUUGAUCUCUUGCCAUUCGAUAUAACUUACAGACCUCGGCGAGCUAUAAAGUCACAAGUUUUGGCUGACUUUGUCGCCGAAUGGACCGAAGCCGAACUCCCUAAAGAGUACGGUGCAUACUCCAAUUGGAUUAUGCACUUCGACGGCUCUAAAAUGUUGACCGGACUAGGGGCUGGCGUCGUAUUGACGUCCCCGACCGGUGAUACAGUCCAAUACGUACUUCAAAUAAUGUACACGGACUCCAACAACGCAGCCGAAUACGAGGCCCUUUUACAUGGUCUCCGGAUGGCAAUCUCCAUGGGCAUUCAACUCCUAGAGGUGCGUGGGGAUUCAAACCUCGCAAUAUCCCAAAUAAAUGGAGACUUUGAUGCCAAGGAUCCGAAAAUGGGAGCAUAUCGCAACGCUGUCCUAAAAAUGUCAGCUCGGUUCGACGGACUCGAAUUCCAUCACGUAGCCAGGGAUAACAACCAAGCGGCCGACGUAUUGGCACACAUCGGCGCAAAACGUGACGCUGUCCCUCCAAACAUCUUCCUGGAACGGCUGUUCAAGCCAUCCGUAUUAUGGGAAGGGGAGUCCGGAAAUAACAAACCGGAAGCAGCCACACCAACCGACACAGAGCAAUUUGACAUAAGCGGCAAUUCCGCCGCCGAAAUAACACCCUUAGCCCACGACAUAAUGGCCGUAAUCGCCCCGUGGACAGAACCAUUCCUAGCCUACUUACUUAGGCAGGAACUUCCCGAAGACCAAAAUGAGGCCCGCUGCAUAGUUCGGCGAUCUAAAGCCUACAAGGUCCACGAGGGAGAACUUUAUAAGAAAAGCACAACCGGAGUCCUUCAAAGGUGUAUCUCCGAAGAGGAAGGGCGAAACCUCCUGGCUGAAAUUCAUGCCGGACUAGGCGGACACCACACAGCAGCCCGGGCCCUCGUAGGAAAGGCAUUCCGUACAGGAUUUUAUUGGCCGACGGCCCGAGCAGAUGCUCAGGACUUAGUCCAACGAUGCGUUGGUUGUCAGCUCUUUGCUAAUCAGAGCCAUAUGCCACCCACCGCACUCAAAACUAUACCCAUUACCUGGCCGUUCGCGGUCUGGGGGCUUGACAUGGUUGGACCACUUAAAGGGGGAACCCACAAGCAAAGAUACCUAUUGGUCAUGGUGGAUAAAUUCACCAAAUGGAUAGAGGCCAAGCCAGUUAAAACGGCAGAGUCCAGACCAGUGAUAGACUUUAUAUCCGGGGUAGUACACCAUUACGGUGUCCCCCACAGCAUCAUCACCGAUAACGGCACGAAUUUUACGGCCGAUGAGGUUAAAUCAUGGUGCAAAAAUAUGGGCAUCAAGCUCGAUUAUGCUUCAGUCUAUCAUCCUCAAACCAACGGUCAAGUGGAACGAGCAAAUGGUCUAAUAAUGAGCGGCAUCAAACCCAGACUAGUGCGGUCACUUACGAAAUCUGACACGCACUGGGUAGAGGAGCUCGACUCCGUACUCUGGGGGCUGCGGACAACGCCCAACCGUACUACCGGAUUCACACCAUUUUUUAUGAUGUACGGCGCAGAGGCAGUUUUGCCCUGCGACAUUAUUCAUGACUCACCUCGAGUGCGCAUGUAUGAAGAAAGAGAGGCCGAGCUGGAUCGGCAGGACAGCUUAGACGCAUUGGAGGAAGAACGCGACGUCGCCAAGGCUCGUUCCGCAUUCUAUCAGCAGCAGGCUCGAAGAUAUCAAAGCAGAGAAGUACGGGCCAAGACUUACAACGUGGGCGAACUAGUUCUACGCCUGCCGGACAAGAAAAAGGGCAAGCUCAAGCCCAAAUGGGAGGGCCCCUUCAUCAUCGAUCAAGUCCUGACCGGCGGAGCAUACCGUCUACGAAAUGCAUCGGAUAAUCGACUCGAGCCGAACCCAUGGAACGCAGCCCGCCUUCGAAGAUUCCAUGCCUAGCGCCGGAUUAAGAGUUCGUCCCUUUCUCCCGUCCAAAUUUUUUAUACUUCAGCUGCCUUUUUUCUCUUUUUUUCUCUCACCCCUAUUCAUAAACAGCCUUAAAAGGCUUAUUUGCACAUAAGUCUGCACAUAAUCGACGUGCUAUCCGCACUCACUAUACCUGGGGGCUUCUUUGCCAGAAGCUUAAUUUAUAAGGGCUUCGUGCCCAGCACAUGUGUUAAGCUCCCACAUGUACCUUUUAUUCACCAUUAUAUGCAUCGAUAUGACUUAAGUUUUGGCCAAGCUGGGUUGCCUGGCUCCUGUGCUUACCCCUACGUUCCCAAUUGUUCGGCUAGGAGGUAAAGGGAGCACCUCUGCGAUUGUUACUGCCGGGUCAGCCGGAUGUGUACCUCAGACUGGGUGAAGCCGAAAGCUAGCGUUCUUAAGGGAAUACUCGGUCGGUGACUUGAAAGAUGAUUUUACCUACUUAUUUAUCUGCCCCCAGAUGUUUUUCUGCUUUUUUCGCAGUCCGGACAUGCACUUUAGGGCAUGCCACCCCCAGAGGAAAGGAACCCUUAACGAAACUAUUCUCCCUGGAAGAUGUUUCUUACUAACCAUGUAAUAUAACAUAACUAGUUGGGCACUUGUCUGAUAAAGCACUAAUGACCCCUAUGCCUGGUCUCCAUGCAUACCCCGGUUGUUUCAUAACUGAGAGGGUAUUCGGACACACUCCGGACUCUAGGGUCCCGAGGUCGAAGCGAAAAGGUCGGCAAAGACAAAUGAUCUACAAUCCGACUAGAAGGCAUUUUACAUGUCAUUUUAUAAUACAUUGUCAAAUUGACUGACUGUAUUCUUCCUCAAUCCCGUCUAACAGAUUGUCUAAUUUAUAGUCCUGUUGGGAAAACUUAGCAGCCAACUCUACUUGGCCGUAUACUAAACUUACAGGGAUCUCCUUCCCAUCGGGCCCCACAGGUCCGACUUCGGCCAUGUGGUUGGGAUUCGCCUUCUUGUACCGCGUCUUCACCAUGGCCCAGGACUCCCUGGCACCUUGGCGGCAGGCUGAAAUCUUCCAUAAAUGGAAGCGCUGCCGCACUCCCUGAAGCUUCUCCGCAAGCUCCCCAAGUCCCUCGGGUAGGGAAAAGGUUGGCCAUAAAGCCUGGAUGACGCCGCUCAUUGCCUGCCGAACUCGUUCGGUCAGUCGCAACAACUCGGGAAGUUGAUCACCCGUUGAUAUGGGCAUCUCCUCCGCGGGGCGACCUGUGAGUAUACCUACAGACAUAUUUUGUCAAUUAACUUCCUCGCCAAACUCUUCUUUUCAAAGGAGUUCGCUCAAGCACUUACUAUAGAUGCCGCGAUGAAGCCGCUGAUUCUCCUUAACGGAGCCAGAUAGCUCGGCCCGAACGCCUUUCAGCUCUUCUCCAAGCUGGGCAUGGGCAUCCUGGAGCUUGUUCCUUUCAUGCUGCACCUUAUGCAGCACCCUCUCGCUGGCCUUUAGUUGGCGAAGAAGUUCUUGCCUGUCCGGAUCUUGUUCGGCGGCACCUGCAACGUCAUUAUCAGACUUGCAUACAGGCCAAACACUACUUAUCUUUUAAAAAAAAUGUGUGUUACCAGGAGAGGUCGUUGCGUUUCCUCCUGCGGCAGCGAGUGCGGCUUCAAGUUGAGCCUUGCACUCUUGCAGCUCCUGAGACAGUUGGGUAUUCUUCUCGGUAAGACCCUGCGUUUCAUAUGUUCCUUAAAUCAGUUAAUAUAACUACUUUAAGUCUCGGGGGCUACUGGCAUAUAUAACUAUUAAAUUCGCUUACCCGUAUGUCCUUUACAUACUGCUCCGUGGCUCUGGUCAAACCAUCUUGAGCGGCACGGAGGUGCGCGUCCCCUGCGUUAAAGGCAUCCAACGCCUCAGGGGAGAAGCACACGUCACGAUAAACAGUCCGGCGGCGCCUAUGGUUCAUGGCACUCUCCACCUCAGAUUUGGUGGCGGAUAGACGGUCGGCAUCCUCCGUUAGAGGAGUAUCCGGCUCGCGCCUUGUGCUCGCCUCCCCCUCCGGACCAGGCGCUGGAGCUUGGCUGGUAGAAGCCGGAUUGGCAGCCUCUGCACCCGUAGUCCGGCGGGCGUUUUUCCCCCUACAAAAAGUCAUGAGCAUUCGAACGCUUCCUAGGAACGUUGCUCCAGAUAAUGAAUUGUGAGUUGUACCUUUGCAGUGACAUUUCGGUCCGCGCCGCGCUCCUCUUCCGUCUACUUGUCCGGACUGGCCUUUGACGGUCAGCCGCCGCGGGCUCGGCUUCCCGCCCUAGAGGCACCUCCUGCACAGCGUCAUCAUAUACAAUGGUCAGAAAUAAGCAAGGAAGGACUAACGGUGUCAGAACUUCGGUCACAAGCACCUGGGAAGCCGGAUAUAGUCCGGGAUAGUCGGCCGUAAUGGCGACUAAGGCAUUAUCCAUGCUGAGCUGGUGGAAAACCCCGUCGAUUAGCUCCACUCCUAUGUCCGGAUCCUCUUCGGAGGCCGGGUCCCGGGAUCUCUCUGGAUCCUCGGGUUGCGGAGCUGGACUUAGCAUGUCCUCCACCAUCCGACGCAGCUCCUGCAUCGAAAGAAGAACACCAUAUAAGAAACUUAGGUUUCAAAGGCAUGGGUUGGACACGUGUAGUGUUCGCUUACCCAGGGCCGGGGAUUAUUCAUGGAGAACCCAUUUAACGGAUUCGUCCGAAGGAAAUCCUCCUUCUCCCCCUUGUACAGGCCGGACAGGAUCUUCACCAGGUCUUCGGCCGAAUCCGACCCUUUACGGCCGUGACGGGUGGCAUCGUCCUCCCCGUUGAAAUCCCACAUACAUUGGCCCUUGUAUUGUAGUGGCUGCACUCCCCUCAUAAUGCAUGUUGCCAUGACUCCAAUCAUGGUCAACCCGGAAUGGGUCAGUAACCUUAUCCGGCCCAUCAGAUAAUGAACGCUCUUGUCUUCCUCCAGUUGGGGGCUCCGUGGGCGCCAACUAAGGUGUUUCUUUAGAGGAGCAUUGUUGAACUCCGGGAGGCCGAUCCGGACAGGGUCCGGCAGCGGAGCGUCUUCUAUAUAAAACCAUAACGAAGGCCAGUCUUCGGACGCCUUCUUAGGGGUUCCGGAUGGAUAUCCGGUCCCGGCAAUGCGCCAUAUUUCGGCGCCGCCCACUUGAUAUAUUAACCCCUCGUGAGAGCAGGGUACAAGGCAAAACAACCUCUUCCACAGCGCAAAAUGGGGCUCGACACCCAGGAAUAGCUCGCAAAGAGCUACGUAACCCGCAAUAUGCAGGAUCGAGGCGGGCAUGAGGUGAUGAAGCUGGAGUCCGUAGAACUCCAGGAGCCCGCGGAGGAACGGAUGUACGGGAAAUCCGAGCCCCCUUAUCAGAUAGGGGAUGAAGCAUACCUGCUCCCCUUUGUUGGGAUUUGGGGUAGCCUCCGCUUGCUUCCCACCUUUAUAGGUGGCCAGCCCGGCUCGGACAGGAACCAUGAAGGCCGGAGGGAGAUAUCCCCCCGUUUGGAGCUUCACCAGCUCGUUGUGUGGAACAGAGCAUCUCCUCCAAUCUCCUGGCAGAGGGCUGGGAGCGCGAGAAGAAGAGCUACGCUGGGGAUCCAUGAUGGAAUGGUUUCCGGGUCGAAAGCGCUCUGAUGAGUGUUCGCGGGAGGAAGAUGGUGAUUUGGAUCUGGAUUCGUGCCUCUCUUAUAGGCAGAUUACUCGCACAACUAGGGGGUAAAACAUAAAAGACACCCCGGCUUUUCGCAUUCGUGCGACACGUGGAAGAAGGCCAUUAUUGGGCGUGGGAGCCAAGAAACGCAACUUUAAUGAAAAAGCCGGACACUGUUCGGCAGGUACAUGGAACUUGAAGGAGAACCCGCCUUGCAACGCCGAAGACUACACACAUGCUGGACUUACCAUCAUUGAAGACUGGUUUGGGGGCUACUAAGGGAGUCCUGGACUAUGGGGUGUCUGGAUAGCCGAACUAUCAUCGGCCGGACUAUCAUCAUUGACCGGACUCCAAGACUAUGAAGAUACAAGAUUGAAGACUUCGUCCCGUGUCCGGAUGGGACUUUCCUUGGCGUGGAAGGCAAGCUUGGUGAUACGGAUAUGUAGAUCUCCUACCAUUGUAACCGACUCUAUGUAACCCUAGCCCUCUCCGAUGUCUAUAUAAACCGGAUGGCUCUAGUCCGUAGGACAACAACAUCAACCCUUACAAUCAUACCAUAGGCUAGCUUUUAGGGUUUAGCCUCCUUGAUCUCGUGGUAGAUCCACUCUUGUAAACAUCCACAAUAUCAAUAUCAAUCAAGCAGGACAUAGGGUUUUACCUCCAGCAAGAGGGCCCGAACCUGGGUAAAACAUCGUGUCCCUUGUCUCCUGUUACCAUCCGCCUAGACGCAUAGUUCGGGACCCCCUACCCGAGAUCCGCCGGUUUUGACACCGACACCAGUGCCCUGUGGGUGCUGGUUCUUGGUCGUCUCCGGCAUCGUCGUCCAUACCGUUGAUAUCUUCGGAGUCGCAAUCUAGCAUGUCGGUUAAGUCAUCGAUAGUGGCUACGAAGUGGGUGGUGGGUGGGCUUUGAAUUUCUUCGCCGUCCGCAUCCCAACCAUCCUAGCCAUAAUCCGGCAAGGCUCUCCUGAUAAAGAGAGACACUUUAGCGAAUUCAGGAUGUCGCCGAAAGGCGAGUGCUGAAAGAUGUCCGCAGUGGAGAACUCCAUGAUCGGCGCCCAAUCGGGUUCGAUUGGCAGGAGCGCGGAUGUUUCGGGGUUCGGAGAGGAGUCCGGCACCUUGGAGUCACGAGCUUCACAAGGGACAGGGUCGGUAUUCGGCUCCAUCGCCGUAGAGGUAGUAGCCCCCGAGGCGGUGUUUAGCCACCCAUCCUCGACCGGCGCAAUUGGGUCCGAGUUAAGGGUCGGAGCGGACUCUUGUGCGGCCUCCAGGGCACUGUCCGGUGGCAGAGCUAAAUCAUGCCCAUCGUGACAGUGCGGCGCGCUCGGCUGUGGCUUGAAUCCGUCGAAGAUCAAGUCUCCGCGGAUAUCGCCCGUAUAGUUUAAACUUCCAAAUCUGACCUGAUGGCCAGGGGCGUAGCUUUCGAUCUGCUCCAGAUGGCCAAGUGAGUUGGCCCGCAGUGCGAAGCCGCCGAAUACGAAGAUCUGUCCGGGGAGAAAAGUUUCGCCCCGGACCGCGUCAUUGUUGAUGAUCGAAGGAGCCAUCGGGCCUAUGGGCGACGACACAGAGGAACUCUCAAUGAAAGCACCAAUGUCGGUGUCAAAACCGGCGGAUCUCGGGUAGGGGGUCCCGAACUGUGCGUCUAGGCGGAUGGUAACAGGAGACAAGGGACACGAUGUUUUUACCCAGGUUCGGCCCUCUCGGUGGAGGUAAAACCCUACUCCUGCUUGAUUAAUAUUGAUGAUAUGGGUAGUACAAGAGUAGAUCUACCACGAGAUCAAGGAGGCUAAACCCUAGAAGCUAGCCUAUGGUAUGAUUGUUGUUCGUCCUACGGACUAAAACUCUCCGGUUCAUAUAGACACCGGAGAGGGCUAGGGUUACACAGAGUCGGUUAUAAUGGUAGGAGAUCCACAUAUCCGUAUUGCCAAGCUUGCCUUCCACGCCAAGGAAAGUCCCAUCCGGACACGGGACGAAGUCUUCAAUCUUGUAUCUUCAUAGUCUUGGAGUCCGGCAAAUGAUGAUAGUUCGGCUAUCCAGACACCCCCUAGUCCAGGACUCCCUCACAUGAUUCUCUUUCUUUACCGUGCUUCCUAGCAACAAAACCUCUCUUAUCAUAACGUUGAUUCUUUGAUUGUGGGUUAUCAAGAUCAACAGCAGGUUCAAUCUCUACAUCAUUGUCUUUGCUAGGUUGAGCAUCAACAUGAACAUUGUCAUUAAAAUUUUCACUAGGUUCAUGUUCAUCACCUGAUUGUGUUUCAGCAUCAGAAAUAGAAAUAUCAUUGGGAUUCUAAGGUGUGUCUACAGUAGGUUCAUUAGAAGCAUGCAAAGUCCUAUCGUCUUUCUUUUUCUUCUUCUUAGAAGAACUAGGUGCCUCUAAAUUAUUUCUCUGAGAAUCUUGCUCGAUUCUCUUAGGGUGGCCUUCAGGAUACAAAGGUUCCCGAGUCAUUCUACCAGUUCUAGUAGCCACUCUAACAACAAAGUCAUUUUUAUUAUUUAAUUCCUCAAGCAAAUCAUUUUGAGUUUUAAGUACUUGCUCAGCUUGAGUAGCAACCAUAGAAGCAUAUUUGCUAACACGGUGAAGUUCAUCUUUAACUCUAGCCAGAUUAUCACCUACGCGUCCUAUCUCGAAAGCAUUAUUCUUUAACUCUCUAUCAACAUAAGCAUUAAAACUUUCUUGUGUAGCCAUAAAGUCAUCAAAUUCAUCUAAGCAUGGGCUAUGAAAUUUAGUAGAGGGUAUUUCAACUUUAUCAUAUCUAUAGAGAGAAUUUACCUUUACUACCUGUGUCGGGUUAUCAAGACAAUGUGGUUCUUUAGGCGGUAAAUUAAGACCAUGUAUUUCUUCAAUAGGUGGUAAAUUCUUAACAUCUUCAGCUUUAAUACCUUUUUCUUUCAUUGAUUUCUUUGCCUCUUGCAUAUCUUCAGGACUGAGAAAUAAAACACCUCUCUUCUUCGGAGUGGGUUUAGGAAUAGGCUCAGGAGUUGGCUCAAUUGCUUCUGGAAUUACUUCAGGAACUGGCUCGGGAAGAGUCCAAUUAUUUUCAUUAGUCAACAUAUUAUUCAAUAGUAUUUCAGCUUCGUCGACUGUUCUUUCCCUGAAAACACAACCAACACAACUAUCCAAGUAGUCCUUGGAAGCAUCAGUUAGUCCAUUAUAAAAUAUAUCAAGUAUUUCAUUUUUCUUAAGAGGCUGAUCAGGCAAAGCAUUAAGUAACCCGAGAAGCCUCCCCCAAGCUUGUGGGAGACUCUCUUCUUUGAUUUGCACAAAAUUAUAUAUUUCCCGCAAGGCAGCUUAUUUCUUAUGAGCAGGGAAAUAUUUAGCAGAGAAGUAAUAAAUCAUAUCCUGGGGACUACACACACAACCAGGAGCAAGAGAAUUAUACCAAGUCUUAGCAUCACCCUUUAAUGAGAAUGGAAAUAUCUUAAGGAUAUAUAAAUAGUGAGACUUCUCAUCAUGAGUAAAUAGGGUGGCUAUAUCAUUCAACUUGGUAAGAUGUGCCACAACAGUUUCAGAUUCAAGGCCAUAAAAAGGAUCAGAUUCAACAAAGGUAAUAAUAUCAGGAUCAAUAGAGAAUUCAUAAUCCUUAUCAGUAACACAGAUAGGUGAAGUAGCAAAAGCAGGAUCGGGUUUAAUUCUAGCAUUAAGAGACUGCUGCUUCCAUUUAGCUAAUAAUUUCUUAAGAUCAUUUCUAUCAUUGCAAGCAAGAAUUUCCAUAGCAGCUUUUUCAUUCAUAACAUAACCCUUAGGAACAACAGGUAAAACAUAAUCAUUGGGGGAACGUUCAUCAUCACUAUCAUCAAUAAUAGGUUCUUCAAUAUUUUCAUUCCCCCUAACUCUAGCAAGUUGUUCAUCAAGAAAUUCACCUAAUGGCAAAGUAGUAUCACGCACAGAAGUAGUUUCAUCAUGCAUAGCAGAAGUGGCAUCAUCAAUAACAUGCGACAUAUCAGAAUUCAUAGCAGUAGCAGGUUUAGGUGUCGCAAGCCUACUAAUAACGGAAGGAGAAUCUAGUGUAGAGCUAGAUGGCAGUUCCUUACCUCCCCUCGUAGUUGAGGGCAAAAUAGUAGUUCGAUCGUCUUUGAAGUUCUUCAUAGUGAUCAACAGAUAUAAAUCCCAAGUGACUCAGAGAAUAGAGCUAUGCUCCCCGGCAACAGUGCCAAAAAUUAGUCUUGAUAACCCACAAGUAUAGGGGAUCGCAACAGCUUUCGAGGGUAGAGUAUUCAACCCAAAUUUAUUGAUUCAACACACGGGGAGCCAAAGAAUAUUCUUGAGCAUUAGAAGUUGAGUUGUCAAUUCAACCACACCUGGAUAACUUAGUAUCUGCAGCAAAGUGUUUAGUAGCAAAAGUGGUAUGAUAAUAAUGGUAAUAGUAGCAACAGUAAAGGUAAAUGUUUUUGGGUUUUUGUAGUAGUUGUAACAGUAACAACGGAAAAGUAAAUAAGCGAAGAACAAUAUGUGAAAAGCUCGUAGGCAAUGGAUCGGUGAUGGAUAAUUAUGCCAGAUGCGAUUCCUCAUGCAAUAGUUAUAACAUAGGGUGAUAUAUAACUAGCUCCAAUUCAUCAAUGUAAUGUAGGCAUGUAUUCCGUAAAUAGUCAUACAUGCUUAUGGAAAAGAACUUGCAUGACAUCUUUUGUCCUACCCUCCCGUGUUUAGCGGGGUCCUUACGAAAACUAAGGGAUAUUAAGGCCUCCUUUUAAUAGAGAACCGGACCAAAGCAUUAACACAUAGUGAAUACAUGAACUCCUCAAACUAUGGUCAUCACCGAGAAGUAUCCCGAUUAUUGUCACUUCGGGGUUGUCGGAUCAUAACACAUAAUAGGUGACUAUAGACUUGCAAGAUAGGAUCAAGAACACACAUAUAUUCAUGAAAACAUAAUAGGUUCAGAUCUGAAAUCAUGGCACUCGGGCCCUAGUGACAAGCAUUAAGCAUAGCAAAGUCAUAGCAACAUCAAUCUCAGAACAUAGUGGAUACUAGGGAUAAAACCCUAACAAAACUAACUUGAUUACAUGGUAAAUCUCAUCCAACCCAUCACCGUCCAGCAAGCCUACGAUGGAAUUACUCACGCACGACGGUGAGCAUCAUGAAAUUGGUGAUGGAGGAUGGUUGAUGAUGACGACGGCGAUGAAUCCCCCUCCCCGGAGCCCCGAACGGACUCCAGAUCAGCCCUCCCGAGAGAGAUUAGGGCUUGGCAGCGGCUCCGUGUCGUGAAACGCGAUGAAACUUUCUCCCUGAUUUUUUUCUCCCCGAGACGGUAUAUAUGGAAUUGGAGUUGAGGUCGGAGGAGGUCCAGGGGGCCCACGAGAUAGGAGGGCGCGCCCUAGGGGGGCGCCCCCUGUCUCAUGGACAGCCCGUGGGCCCCCUGACCUUGAUUCUUUCGCCAAAAAUUCUUAUUAAUUCUGAAAAGUGCCUUCGUGGAUUUCCAGGACAUUCCGAGAACUUUUCUUUUCUACACAUAAAACAACAUCAUGGCAGUUCUGCUGAAAACAACGCUAGUCCGGGUUAGUUUCAUUCAAUUCAUGCAAAUUAGAGUCCAAAACAAGGGCAAAAGUGUUUGGAAAAGUAGAUACAUUGGAGAAGGAUCAGCUACGCACUUGAGCUAAUCCGCUGAGCUGAACGUGAUAGCGCACGCUGACCACCUGAGAGGGUGUGUGGCUUCAAGCUUGGGGAGGACUGCAUUCACCUCGCGAGCAAACUGUUUGAAGAUGCGCCAAGAGGCUGGGACUUGAGCGCCGCCCAGGAUGCAAGCGAUUGCACGCGGCUCCUGGAAGCCCCCUGCUCCUUCAUCCUGAUGAUGGUCUUCAUUCCUCCUAGGUGGAGGUGGCAGAGGAGGGAGGCCCGCGUUGCCUUGAGGGCGAUCCUCGCGAGGCUGAUCCCUCCAACCUCCCUCGCGAGGCUGGUCCUGCGAGCAGUCCUCGCGAGGUCAGUCGUGCCACCCUUUGUGAGGGCCACGGUCUUCCCAUCGUCCUCCACCUCUUCCUCCUCCUCGGCCAUAUCCCCAGUCGUUGCGCUCGGGGCGUCGGCCGAUACGCCCAUCUCGCAUGGCCCUGAGCUCUUGGCAUUCGUUGUUGUUGUGGGUGUGGAGGUCAUGGUACACGCAGUACCGGUUGCCCUUGGACGACUCAGGCUGAUCCCUGCCUUGCUUGGUGUCUGGCUCUGCUGCAAGCACAGUAGCCCCCUUGCGCUUUACGUCUUUGGCCUUGGGCUUCUUCUCUUCUGGAUCGGCACCCGGAAGCUCGAGGAGGGAGAUAUGCCCUUCCUCAGCCCUGGUGCAUUUGGUCGCCAAGUUGAACAGCUCCAGGGAUGUGCACAGGUUUUCAUGGAUUGCUAGCUCUUCCUUCAUCUUGAUGUCACGCACGCCGUCAGAGAAGGCUGAGAUGAUGGCUUCCUCAGUCACCCUGGGGAUCUUGAGGCGAGCGUUGUUGAAAUGCUGGAUGUACUUCUGCAAGGUCUCUCCUGGCUAUUGCUUGAUGCGGUGAAGGUCGCUCAUGGCCGGAGGCCGGUCGCGAGUGCCUUGGAAGUUGGCGAUGAAUCGGGUGCGCAUCUCGUCCCAAGAGGAAAUUGUGCCCAGAGCCAGGUUCAGGAGCCAGGUGCGGGCGCCGUCCUUGAGCGCCCUGGGAAACCAGUUCGCCAUGACCUUCUUGUCCCCAUUGGCAGCCUCGAUGCCCAGCUCGUAGAGCUGGAGGAACUCCGCAGGGUCAGCCGUGCCAUCGUAGCGUGGAGGCAGGUCGGGCUUGAACUUGCCUGGCCAAGCUACGCUGCCCAGCUUGGCGAUGAAGGCGCGGCAUCCCGCAGUGGCCACAGGCGGCCUUUGGUGACAAAGGGCUUGAUCUUGGAGGUCCGCACGCGCUGCCGCCAGGAACAGCGCGGGGUCUUGGCGCGCUAGAGCAGGAGUGCGGUCAUGACGUGCCGGUGCAGGGAGCAUGCGGGCAGCUUCUUCGGGGCGAGGGAUCUCCUGGCAGCUCCUUUCUUAUCGCACUGGCGCCGGACACGGUGGGUCUCGUGCCGGAGCAGCACGCCGUGGGGCUAGGGCGCCUUCUUGAGGAGGAGGUGGCGGGGGCACCUCCUGGUCCUCGCCUCCCAUGCAGGGUGGAGGGCGAGGCGGCGAGAGAGAGGGCAUAGGAGAGCCCCCUGCAGCGCUGACGAGCUCGGUGAUGCGGGUGAGCCAGUCCUCAUAGAGGUCAUCGACGGGACGGUAGUGCAGGAGCUCUCGCGCCAGGAGCAGCACAGCGUGCGCGUCCGCGGGGGCACGAUGGGCGUGGGAGGAUGAAAUGGCUGGAGUCAGCGACGGGGUGGUGGUGCGGCCCUCUCGCCGCACCGAAGGGUGCAGGGACGAGGCCUGCUGCUCGUUCCCCGCCGGGCCGGUGGCGGCGUUGGUGGCAGGCGACAGGGAACGACGGGGGCUUCCUCCGACGGGCGCCGUCUGGGCGACGCGGGUGGUGAGGGCUGCCCGGCGCUCAGCGCGGGCUCGACGAGCGUCAGACAUGGAGGUGACGGACGACGAGACGCAAGGCGGCGGAAGGCGAGAUUCCGGCGCACCCCUACCUGGCGCGCCAAAUGUCGGAUUGCGGGUUCCGGCAGACCCCUGAGGUUCGAACUCUGGGGUGCGCACGGAGAUCACUCCCCCUACCUACUCACGUCUCGUCGCCUCGCAAGAGAUCUAAACUACACGAAGAACAACACAAGGGACACAAGGUUUAUACUAGUUCGGGCCACCAUUGUGGUGUAAUACCCUACUCUAGUUUGUGGUGUGGUGGAUUGCCUCAGGGGCUGAUGAUGAACAAUACAAGGGAAGAACAGCCUCGCGAGGGAUGUUCUUGUGGUGGUGUUGUCCCCUUGGAGGGGUCGAUUCGAGAUGACUAUCUGCUCUCUCUAGAUGCUGGAUCCUUUCUACCCGAUCCCUUCCUACUGUGGUGGAUAGUCCUAUUUAUAGAGCAAGGCCCUGGUCCUCUUCCCAAAUAUUGAGCGGGAAGGGCGCCAACAAUUGGCCAUUUUGAAGGGGAACAUCUAGUACACUUAUCCUGACUAAAGUUGGUCCUCGCCUGCCAAAGGCUCUAACGAUGACGCCUUCCUGGGCUCCACGAUGACCUCCAUCCGGCCGUUCUGCUGGUCUUGGUCUUGUUGCACCGAAAUGGUAUCCUUUGCCUGAUACCUUGGCCUACGCUUGCCCCCUUUGCACCAAAGGGGAAACAAGGACACUGCCCAGGCCGGCGCCCGCCUGGCGCCCGCCUGGUCUCGAUCGUCAUGGCUUGCAUCACGGGCACCUCGUGAGGUACCCUGCCUUGAUCUCUCCGCCUCCUCGCGAGCCAGCCUAGCGAGGCUGUGCCUGAGGAAGCUUCCUAUCGUCCGCCCCGUGAGGCUUGGCCCCUUGCGAGGGUCUUGAGCUUGUGUCGAUGAAGAUGGGCCGUGGUGGGCCCCCUACUUGAGCCACGCCGCAGGCCACAGGCAGGCAAGUCUGGGUACCCCCGUUCGCAGAACUCCGACACCUGCUGCCGUUCUGAGGAAUGAAACUGAAGCCAUCGAUUUGUCAGCAGAUGAUGAGUGUGGUGAUGAUGCUCUUGAGCAGCUGAUUAAGAGCAAGCAAGAGGCAGAGAUCUUCAAUGAUCUGCCCCUCUUCGAUGUGAACAUUUUGGAUAACUUCAUUGCUAAGUGGUUUGACAACCCAAAUCUCAGCUUUGAUGAUCUUCAGCUCGGAAUUGGCAUCAGCGUCACCUUCCAAGGCACCAUUGCUCCUGAGCUGGCUCUAGCUCAGAGGAUUGUUGAACUGAAAAACAAAAUUGACUAUGAGAAAGACCAGUUCAAGAAGCACGUGGCCAAGCUCAGUGUGGUUGAUGUUCAAAACUUUAAGCUGAUGCUGCAUGACAUCAAUGAGGCAUUUCGCAAGAAGCGCGAAGAAGCCAAAGGUUCACGUGAGCGAAUGAAAAAUCUAGCUGCCAAGUGUGUUCAAGCUUACAAUGAAGCUGAGAAGCGCAAGGCACUUGGGCGUCCUGGCAUAGACCCCAAGCUGGCUGCCAAGAAGAAGAAGCCUGCUGUGGCCCAAGCUGAAGCACCAAGGUGGGAAGAACCUCGCAUUGUCUUCCCUACCAGUAUGACAGGCUUGAAGCCUAAGGUCCCCACAGUGGCUUCAAAACUGAAGAAAACCAGGACAGCUAAAGCCGAAGCCAGAAAGCGCAAACUCAAGAACACCACUGACGAUGCUCCACCAACCAAGAAAAGAAAAACCAAGAAGAAAGAUCGGGCUGCUCCCACAGAGCCCCUCGUUGUCGAGCCCAUCUCUUUUGCUCGUCCUGCAUCCCAACACCAAGAGCGUCAGUUGAUAGUUCACGAGCCUUCUUCCACAGAGGCUCCUGAAGCUGAAGAAGUUCCAUCCAUUGACCCCAUCACGGCUGAAGACAUUGGUCCCCAAGACAAUGUGGAUGAUGAUGAAGUCCUUCCUCAGAUCGAGCGCCAAACGGUAUCAUCGCCUGUUCUCACAAACAACAAACUCAUCAGUAUUGGUCGUCCUUUGACGCCAAUCUCUCAGGAUGCCUCAUGGGCUGAUCGCCCCCAACUAGCUACUCCAAGUCAAGACUCAGCGCGAACUCCCCCACCUCAAGACACCAAUCCGGUGCUUGAUGAUGAUGACGACUAUGUGGUCCAUCCAACUCCUACUCCAAAGGCGCUGCCCACAUUCUGCAGGCUUCUCAAAGGACCAAGGCCACAAGUCGAUUCAUCGAGCAUUCCAGAAGGAGAAGUGCAACCCAACGUGGCAGCACAGCAAGUGUUUCCUGAAGCCACUCCUACCGUGAAUGUCUCUCUGUCUGAAGCCAAUGCCGCUGAAGAUAUACCGGCUGCAUCAGCCGAUGAAAAUCAAGAACCCUGUCAAGAAGAAGAAUGUGUUGCUACACCCCCUACCAACCAAGAAGAUGUUAUCGAGGAGAACGUGUCUGUGCCCGACCCUCCAGCUACUCAAGUGGAGGUUGAAAAUCCUGAGGCAGCCACAAAUAAAACUACUGACGCCAAUGACGUUGUCAUGGAUGAAGAUAAUGUGGCGCCUGCAAUGAACACCGUGCAUGAAGCCAAUGAUGCACCUGCACCAAAUGUGCAGCCUGACGCCCUUGCUAAUGCCACUGCUCCUGUACCGCCACCAAGGCCACACGCCAUUAAGCAAGCAUUCUAUCAAGGCAAGCUUGUCACUGUCAGAUGGCCAAUUCUGGUUCCUCCGCCUGCUCCCGGACCUUAGUUUUAUUAUCAUAUGGAGCACCGGCCACUUGUUCAGAAGUCAAAACCGAGGCUGCCAAGGUUUCCAGGUACUGCAUCUGCACCAGGAUCAUUAAACGUCAAUGGCUUCAUUGCACACAACACUUUCUUCGAUAGGGCCAAGAACCCAUAUUCCAAGUCAAGAAUAUCAUCUGAUCGGUUCUGGAGUUAUCAGCAGCGCAGCUAUUACUCCUGUGUCCUAUACAAUCAAGGGCCCAUAUUUCCCCACAUGCGUCUGGACUGCGAAGCCAUUGCUGGCCUGCCCUGCUUAGAAGAAGCCCUCGACUGUUUCAGAGAUGCAUGCCUUCUCCAGUUUGUGACUGAUAAGGAGAAUUGGAAUGAAGAGCUUCUGCUGCAAUUCUAUGCAACUCUCCACAUUCGCGGCUACAACAUGGAUCCAAAGACAUGGGUCCUUGAGUGGAUGACAUGCAAUGUACACCAUGAAGCCAAAGCUAUUGAUCUCAUUAAGCUUACUGGCCUGUCCACUCCAGGUGAACUAUAUGAACCUGGUUGUCAGCUUCACCGCAAUGCAUUGGAAAGCAUCUUCCAGAAGCUUGAGCCCAAUAUGAGCCAAAUGCUGAUUAUGAUGAAGCCACUGCCGCAGGAUGCUGAAUAUCCCAAGGAAUUCUUCGUUCAAGACCUAGAGUAUCUGCCCCGCACCAUCUAUCACAUUAUCAGGCGAACUCUUUGGCCCAUCAAAGGACAUUCUUCCUCAACUAAGCUUGAAGGCUCAAUGAAGACAUUGGUCUUCUAUAUUUUCAAUGGCAUCAGCUUCAAUGCUCAGGAUUUCUUCAUUCCUCCAAUUUGCUGCAUCUGGCUCGGAUAUAUUUGGACUGAAAUUCUAUGCUCCAUGGGUAAUGCGAUUGAUCAAGCUUCACUCUGCUGUUGACUAUCAGCCCUCUGCUCGCAACCAUCUCAUAUUCUUGCCAGAGUUUGAUAUGUCCGUCGAAGCCAUAUACCCAGAGACUACCAAGGAGGCAAUUUAUCUUCACAAUGUCGAUCGUCAGAGUUUCUCUCAGCAUGUUGAAGGAGUUCAUGCUGCCACUCAUGUUUAUCCGCUGGCUGGAAAUACUCGUGCACCUCGCCGUGCCCGUACUGAAGCCACUGAAAGCACUAUUGCUCCAAGGCCUCGAAAGCGAUCUCGUGUGCUCAAUGACCGAGAGAUUCUCUUGGCCUUUCAUCAAAAACACGAUAAUCAUCAUUACUGGCUAAAGCAUCAGAUGCAAAGCCUCUUGGUGGAUGUUAAUCGCAUUCGAAAUCGUGCCACCAAGAAUGCGUUUGCCACUCAUGAAACCUGUCGGAGGUCUUGGAAGAGUUUGACAUUGCUCAGUGCUGAAGCUGAUCUUCAAGACGAUGGCUUCACAGAGAGAUUCAAGUUCGAUACCACUCCUCCUAGGAAUGUUGUCUUGCCUCAGACUCCAUCACUCGAAGAUUCUGAGUACUCCUCCUCCGCGGCAACUGUAAAUGCCAGAGUUCUUGAUGACACCGAUGAUACUACUUCACCACCUCCAACUUCGGCAUGUAUCGACACUGCACCAAGUUCAUCUGCACCACCAAACCUCAACGACGACCCUGCUGCCUCACCUACUCCUCAUGGGAACGAGUAGAGACUAUGUCUUCAAACCUUUUUGGUCCUUACUAACAAAAGGGGGAGAAGCAUAUGUUGAUAGUCUUCAAGCGGGUCCAUAUGGGUGGUUGCUAUACUUUUGCCAAGUGUUUACAACUCUCACUUUUGAUACAUUUGGUUCUUUGAGUUGUAACACUGAAACUUGAUGGUCAUCUGCUACUUUUCUGUUAUUCUAUGAUGCGACGAUAAAUUCCGCAUGUGCGAUGAUAAAUCCCGCAUGAAGUCAAUCUGCAGACGUCCAUUUUUCAUUAUGCAUGUCAUUAUUCUUGUAUAUCUGUUCAUGCAUGAUGUAUUGUCUUCAUAAGGUGAAGAGGAUCUCCACAAGUACAACCUGCCAUGUGCAUUUGCAUUCCAGCGCAAAACAUUUAUAUGCACAUAUUCAGGGGGAGCCUUUUUGCCACCUAUGAAGACAAUAUCUUAAUCCUUUACAAUCUCACAUACUUUUAUCCCGUUGAAAACUUCAACCAGUUUGUCAUGAAUCACCAAAAAGGGGGAGAUUGUAAGUGCAUCUAGUGCCACCCCUAGUUGGUUUUGGAGUAUUGACGACAAACUUGGUUGAGGGACUAAUGUGUUUGUGAGAAUUGUAGGAUAACACAGGUAGUAGUCCCUCAUUGAUUCGGUUUACCUACCGGAGAUGACCCCUAAAAAUGUGUGAAGACAUUGAAGACAAUGGUGGUCUAUGAAGCUAUUCACGUUGAAGACUAUGACAUGAGAAGACAUCGCAUGAAGACUAUGGAGCGCGAAGACUUAGUUGUUUUGUUGUUUCCUUUUCUUCUUUGUUGAGUCAUAGGAAACACCACACUGUUAAGUGGGGUCCAAGUGAACAAAGUCAGAGUGACUGAAGUGAUGCUGAACCAAAUCCUAUGUCUUCGAGCGAAGACAAUGAGAGCAAAUCUUAUCCAGAGUCGGAUGAGUCAGCUUUACUUGUAGCCCAAGUCAAGCUCUCGCGUGUGUUUGAAAUCUGACCAUUGGGACACAUGUCAGUUCCUUAGUGACCUAGGGUCAUUUUGGACAAAUCAUGUCGGGUUGCCCAGUGUCUAUAAAUAGACCACCCCCUACACCAUAAAACGGUGGCUGCUCAGAGUUAGUGCACGGCUUUUGUCGUUUGCGAGCAACCCACCUCCGAAACAUUUGAGAGAGAAUCCUUGCGAGGACAAAGCCCAAACCACCCAGAGCCCAAAGAGUGUUUGGCAUCACUAAAGUCUUUCUGUCUGCGUGAUCUGAAGACUUGUUACACUUGAGGACUGUGAAUCCUCCAGUCGGUUAGGUGUCGCGUUCUGAGCAUCCAAGAGUCAUUAUGGAUUGCCGGUGAACGAAGUCUGUGAAGGUUUGGAAGUCUACCUCGAAGACUUACCAGAGUGAUUGGGCGGGGACUAGGUGUCCUUAGCUCAAGGGGAAUAAGGUGAAGACGCGGUCUUCUGAGUUGAAUCUCAGCCUCCCUAACCAGACGUAUAGUUGUUACAACAACUGGAACUGGUCGAACAAAUCUCUGUCCUCUCCAAGCUACUGGUUUUAUCUCUCACUUCUCUUUACUUACAGUUUGUCUUCGUGAAGUCAUUGCCUACUUGCAUGAUCUGUUUGACUUCACUGUGUGACUACUUGUUCUGAUUGGCUUCAUACUAUCUUCUAUCCUGAUCCUUACUACCUAGCUACUAAUAGUCUUCGUGCUUUCACUUCAUUGAAUACUUGACUAUGGCUUGCCUAGUGUAGUCUACCUUCCGCUGCAUACGAAUAGCGUCAUUUCUACUAUUUGUCUUCGAAACUCCCAUGCUUUGAAGACUUUCAUAAAAAUCGCCUAUUCACCCCCCUCUAGUCGAUAACUAGCUCUUUCACCUUUACAUUUUGUAUUGUUAAUGCUUAUAGAAAUCUUCCGGUGCUAGCUUAUGGAAAUCUGUUCAGUAAAACCAUUGUACUAUACCCCGUAAUAAAAAAUACUACUCUACUAUUGCACUAUGUCGGCGUCUUGGACUUGGGGGUAUCCAGUCCUGCCUGCCUGCGGCCCACCCCGUGGCUCCAUCGACGGCCUGGUACGGCCCAACUUCAGCACCAACACAACAAGACCCUCGCGAGGCGGACGACGUCAAGACCCUUGAAGGAGUUGGCCUCCUCAGGAGGGCUCCUGAGGGGCGGAGAGAUCUAUGCAACUACCUCAUGAGGCUCAACUGAUGUGAGCCAUGAUGACCAAGGCCAGGCGGGUGCUAGGCGGGCGCAGGGCGCAGGUUUCCUCUUCGGUGCAAGGGAGGCAAGCCAUAGGCGCGGAGUCCUGAGGAAUCAACCAAAUGUUUCCAUUCUGGUGCAACAAGACCAAGACCGCCAGGAUGGCAGGACAUAUGUCAUUGCCGAGCCCACCGCAGCGUCAUGACCAGAGGCUUUUUGCAGGCGAAGACUACUUCUAUUAGGAUAGACUGUACUUCUUGUCCCCUUUCAAAUCCCGCCGUUGUGGAAUCCCUUCCCGCUCAUAUUUGGGAGGAGGACCAAGGCAUUAUAUAUAGGACUUAGCCACCACCAUAGAAGGGGGACCGAAACCAGAACAAGUAGAGCACCACACCAGCUCAAGAACACCUCACCUCCUGAGACUUGUUCAUCCUUUGUAACUAGUUCAUCCGUAGCCCCUCGAGGCAAUCCACCACACCACAUUAGAGUAGGGUAUUACACCACAACGGUGGCCCGAACUAGUAUAAAUCUCUAUGUCUUUGUGUCUCUGUGGGCUCUUCGCGCUAGGCUAGGGAGGAUCGCGAGUAGGAAGGCUGGGUAGGUUGAGAUCUCCACAUGCACCCAAGUGUUCAAACCUUUCACGGGUUGCCGGAUCCCGAAAUCCGACACACUAGCCACUGGAUUAGUGUAUAUUUGUACUAUUCGGAUGGUGCUGCAUUAGCAUAUGGACAUAUAUAAAGUGUGGCAAGCUUUCCCAGAUAUGUGCUCAACAAAACUACUACCUAUUUUUCUAAAUACUAGACGUUUGGGUACUUUAAAUUGAACUGCGAAAAUGUCUUAUAUUAAGGAACAUAUGGUGUAGAGUUCACUCAAAUUAUCCCGGUAAAGCUAGUCACACCUUUGUUUAAAUUAAUGUCCAUUAUGUUAUUGGAGGAGGUCUGUAUGUUUGUCUCUAAUGCUUGUCGAUUACAUACCUGACAUCAUGAUGUAAUGUUAAGUCAUUUCUUUUUAUACAGUGUCACUGAAUUGUCAAGGUGGUGAUGGCAUUUUAUUUUAGUUGAUCUGCACAAAAUAUGCUUAAAAGAAGAGGAAAGGUCAGGAAUGGUUCAAUUUUUAAGAAAAAAUUAUGUAUGCCUUCCUCACACCAGCUGUUGUUGCCUUAUUUAUUCCUUCAAACAGGUGGUUAGAAACAGUCUUGCCACCUUUUCCCAUUAAGAAAUUGGAAUGCUUAUAUUUGUGAGUCUAAGCUUCAUCUAGUGCCACUUUUAUAGUAAUCACACUUCCAUUGUCUAUGCAAACAGGGGUGCUCGAUUUUAGUGGAACUGCACAAAAAAUCCAAAUGGUUCAACAUUAGGAGCAUGUUUUAUUCCAAACCUUUAUAUACAAUUGGCGGCACUAUGAGCUAUUCAUUACGAAGGUACAUGGUUUGCUACUAUCUUGAUGCUCUUUUUGUACUGUCAUUAGAUAGUAAUAUUAGUGGUUUGCAUGUGAAUUUAUUGGCAGGGUGGACCUACAUUGGAGGUCCAGGACAUGAUUCAAUGAUUGGAUGCUUAACUUCGGUUGUAUUAAUUUCACCUCUUCCAUCAUUGCGAACAUGGAUAUCUUUGGUCCGAUGAAGAAUAGGCGCUAUAUUUCUGCUCUGUACCAACAAAUCAAUUCAGUACAAAAUUUUCCAGGGCAAAACAUGACAGUAUCAAAUUUUCUAGUGCAAAACAUGACAGAUACUAAGCGGAAGAGGCGUGUUUAAACCAAAAAUACAAGGUGGGGUAUAUGUUUACUAGUUGGUUCAAAUUUGUGCAGACAGAUGUCUGCCCGUUGCUAUUUGGCAAACAAACAAAGUGACCACAAUUUUGGUGGAACUGCAUAGAAGAGUAGUAUAGUCAUUGCAUGUAGUGCCAUUUGAAAAUAGACACAGAAGGAUUGGAUAGUCACUUCAUGGACUGCACAAAAGUAGUACUAUACUAUUUAUUGGCCAACACUAGGUGCUUCAUUGCUUUGGUCUGAUUAUAAAAUGGGCAUCAGUUUGCCAAAGUUAAAGUUUGUAUUCUGAAAAUAGUCUCGCUGUGUGAUCGAGAGAAGACCAAAUCAUAUCGCAGUGGAUGUUCCUCCGUCAUGUGUGGUUCAUUCUCAUGGUUCCAGCUGUUGGUGAAACAACUUACGUUUGCAAGAGGAAUUGUGGACUUCACAAACAAAUUUGUCUUUCACUCUGUACUGAAUGUUGGCCCAGAGAAGCAUCCAUGUUACUAGGAAGAACAUAUGUUUUUUCUAGAUCUUUGCUUUUGGAGCUACAUAUUUGUAUAUGAUCUGUGAAUCAUUGAGAUGCAUUAACAUGUUACUAGUUGGUUGUGAAUUUGGGCUACUAAUGUGAACAUAUUACAAUGCCAGGCCUGUGAGUCUCAUGUGAACAUUUCGAAUGGAUCGGCUCUUACUACUGUGCACAACAUGAUCAAGAUUAUGUUCUCAGUGUUUACAAGUUACUAGCAGUUCCUUAUUUCUAUCCGCUCAAUGUUUACAAGUUACUUAUCAAUCACUAGCUAGCCUACUAAUACGCUCCUGGCAGUUUUAGUUGCGAUGCAAGAUCCAAAGGUGGCAGUUUUUUGAAUAAAAAUGCCUACCUCUCUAGAAACUGACAAGCUGUUCUGAAGAAAAUGCCAUGCAAAUCUGGAGAAACUGCCAACAAAAACGUUCACAAAUGCCUUAUCUCCCAGCGGACAUUCAUCAGCUAAUGCGAUCCUACACGUACACUAUCCAACCUACUCGAUCCUACACGUACACUAUCUGACCUACUCGAUCCUACAUGAAUAAAUAGCAGAUCCCGCACGAACUACCUCCUUUCCAGUUUGCAGGGCUCAAUUCAACACCAACCAAGGUAGAUGAUGAGUGGUGGAAUAAUUUUUGACAAGGAGGGAGUACCUCAUCUGGAUGAUUCGAGUGCACUCGUUUGACCGUCAUGGUGAUGUGCGACCCAGCAAGAAUGGGACGCACCACUGACGGGACAGGACGACACAUUAGUUUUUCCAGUUUUCCAUGGUAAGCUGGCAUGCUAAGCCAUGCCUGCUUAUGCAUUGAAUUCUGAUGACCGUCGCGUUUCCCGCGACAUGCUGCUUCACCUACCUUCCACCUAUAAUUACUGGUUCUCAGCGUUCUCUGGUAGCACUGUCACCCAGCUCGCCCUAUCGGCUCCCCUCAUGACCCCCACCGUCCCGACAUCGCUCGCCACUUGCCCUCGCUCUCGCCACAUUCAUCAUGCCCCCGACCGUCCACAAUAGGCGAUGCCAAAGGCACUCACCGCUGGAGCUAGUGUUCGGUUAUUCACAGGAAGGAGGACAGAGGGAGGAGGCAUCCUAUCGGUCUUUAGAUGGCAAUGUGGAGUACAAGGACUUGUUGGAGCGUGACCACCUGGCGGAGGAGCAGUGUAUCACCGAUUUGCACCGCCAGUGGGGCAUGGAGCAGCAUCACACCGCCGCUUUGAAUCGUGAGCAGAGUGCCCGUGGCUGGGCCGACUACAUGGAGGCUAGAGCCCGACAAAUAGCCCUAGAAGCUGUCGGGCACGCAUGUGUGCGCGACGCCAAAUUUUACUACCAGCUCGUCAAGUGGGUUUCCUGCUUAGAAGCUGAAGCUUCGGUGGACCAUGCUGGCAUGGAAAGGGCCAACGCACGCGAGCAACGCACCCUAUCGCACCUCCGGCAAGUCCGAGGCAAGGAGGAGGACGUCGGUGCCGGCAUUUAGCGUAUACCACAGAUGGCGGCCGACAUCGUCUAGUUAGCUAGGAGUAAGUCAGUACUUGUACACUAGAUUAUUAGUAGGAGUAGAUAGUUAACUUGGCUAUGAUGGUUGUCAACAUGGAAGUUCAGCACUCUAUAUCUAAUCAGACAUGUUACUUUGCUCUUGAAUGUUGAACUUCCGUGUGAACGUAUGGAAUGGGUUGUUAUUUUUUUAAAUGGGUUGUAUUUGUCCACCACGGGUUUAGAGGCUGACUUCUGAGCCUACUAGGUUGAAGCAUACACAACCAGGAGAUGAUUGUACAUGGAGAGGAUGACAGGAGGGACCCACCAGGUUCAUGGCAGUACGCAAGCAAGUGUGUUGGGGAUAUGACUAUUGGGUAUGACCCGCCCAGGAGGUGCCGAGUCAUACCAGUGGCGGGUCAUAAUGAGAAGGCCCAAGAAGAUGUUGAAGAUGGCGGUUCAUGAAGCAAGCUUACUGAAGGCCCAAGACCCGGAGGAGACUUGAGGCCCACGGGCGUAAACCGCCAUAUGUUUAACUUGUAUGUUAAGGAAAGUGUAGAUCUGUCACCGAGCCGGACACGUUGUGUAUGAGCCGGCCGGGACUCUGUAAGCCGCCGGGCAUCAGCCUGCGUAUAUAAAAGGGGUGACCCGGCGGAGGUUUAGGUCAAGCGUAUUCGCUCCCUGGUAAUCAAAACCCAAGCAAUACAACCUAAAGUAGGAGUAGGCCUUUACCUUGUUGCGAGGUGCUGAACCUGGGUAAAACUCUCUGUGUCCCUUGUCUCGUAUUAACCCCUUCAAGCUAACCACAUUCCGAUGGCUCCACACCUAAGUUCUUAUGCUAGGGCAUCUGCCAUGACAAUUCCACGAUAGUUGGUGCCCACCGUGGGGCCAGCGCACAGUGGUUUCGAGUUCUUGAUGGGCAGCUUCGCAGGACUCAAGGGAUACGCUGUGGGCCGGAUGAUGAAGAGUUGUCGCGGCAAGCUCUACAUCGACGACGCAGGCUGGGGCCUUGAGGCCGACUCAAUCGAGUACGGAUAUCGGGUCCCCUUUGAUGGAAUCCAUGUCUUCAUUGGCAAGAUUGGUGAAUCGGAAGCUGAGCCGGACAUCUGCACCGACAUCGUCAAGACGGCUCAGCGCGUGUGACCCACCAGGGUUCAAGCCGCCCCGAAGCAUGUCUUUGUUGGCUUUACUCAAGGAGUGGAUCUAGGAGGAGGAUCUGAGUCUGGUGGUGAGACGGCCAUCUAUUCAGGCGAUGAGUCCUCAACCAGCGAGACCAAUUCCAUCUAUCAGGUUCAGGAUGGUGUGCUCGGGGGCUGUCCCAGUGGUGGCAGUAUUCCAGACCCCUACGAGCCACCACACAGGGUUGCGAUCUUCAUGGCCGGUACACAGCCAGGGCAGGAUUCUUCAACUACAGCAGCGAUGAUCUCUGGUUCAGCAAUGACAAUGGCAGCCGGGGCAGGAGGCCUUGUGCGCCUGCCGGCUCAAGUCUUAUCCGAUCUAUUGGAUGCUCUAGCAACGCUGUUAACCGCAGAGAUAAACUCGGCAGAUCAAACGCAGCAUAACGCAGACGCUGCAAAGUUACGUGAUGAGAUAGCGCAAGCCAAGGAGGAUCUAAACACUGAGAACACCUGGAUGGCGAAAGAGUGAGCCGCCUUGUAGAGGGAGGUGGAACGGCUUCAAGCAGAGAAUUUGCGGUUGAGCUUAGACUAGGACGCAUCAAAUGCCGUCUUCAGCAGAAGGCAUGUGAGUCGAUUACCUCCGGUUUACGAUGUGAGGAAUGUUUUCAACAUGCCUGGGGCAGGAACCAGUAACCCUCCUAGUGUGGAUCGGGCCAUUCAGGCGCCGGCGGCCGGAGCGCCGGUUCAGCCUAGUGCUGCAGAACCCCCAUGUUUGAAUUUGACCUCUCAGCACGUUCCAAUGCCCCCGGGUAAUUUUUCUAAUCCUUUGGAUAACAUGAUAGAUGGGGCUACUCGACUGGCGGCUCUCCCGGUUCAGGAUGAGUCGCCAGCGGUGAUGGAAAUACAGAGAGUAGGAGAAACUCUUCAGACAGUAGUGGCCCAACACGCGGCUUAUUCAUAUAGUCAUGAUCGAAUUCACUCAACCCCACGUCCAAGCCGGAGCUAUAGCAGGCACAUUGAUGAGCCGGCUGUAUCGAGCAGUGAGCGGCACCGUAAUCAACCCCGUCAGCCUGACCCGCUGCACGCUGGUAAUGAUUCUCAGGCUUUGGUGGACCAGGGGAGGGCGCGACGUGAGGUAGAGCUGGCGGCUUAGUUGGCGGCUCAACAACAAUCUCCGGUUUAUCCGUCUGCAUAUGUGGAGGCAGGAGUGACCUCUAGAACUUUGGGUGUGCCAUGUUUAGUGCCGGCUCUACAUAAUGACCGCUUGCCUAAGGAUUUCAAGGGCCCCCAUAAGGUGCCUAACUACACAACGGAUCAACCCCCAGAGGCUUGGGUUGAGAGUUAUGAGAUGGCUAUGGAGAUGCUGGAUGUCAGUGAUGCUGCAUGUGCUAAGUAUAUUACCAUGUUGUUGGAUGGGCCAGCUCGUACUUGGUUGAAAGGCCUACCCGCUAACUCCAUUAGGUCAUGGGCAAAGUUGAAGAAGUGAUUUAUUCAAAAUUUUAAAGACACGUGCAAGCAGCCUAUGUCGAUUCUGGAUUUGGAUUCUUGCAUCCAAGGUGAAGGUGAAUCAACAACCAAUUGGGUGUGCCGGAUCUUAGCUGUUAUACACUCAUCGAACAGUAUCAACGCCGAUUCAGCAGUCCUGAUGUUAGAGAAGAAUUGUCGUUUUCUUCCCCUUAAGCAAAAAUUGGGGCGGCUUAAGCGUAAUUGUAAUGACAUGGGGAAGCUCAUGGUAGCUCUCGUCAAAUAUGCCGACUCUGAUAGCACGAAAGGCCCUGAGUCUGAUGAGGAGAAGGUUGGAAAGGGAAGAAGAGUGGCAAUGCAAAGGGACAGCAUAACACGGCGAGUCAAGGUGGCAAUGGUAAAUGUAAGGCAGAUGGUGGUUUAGACAUAGUGGCUAACACUAAUACGCAGAGUCAUAACCAGCAUUGUAAGGGUAAAAUGCAAGCGCCCCGGUUUGGAUGGCCGAAGUUCAACCUUGAGGCCAUGAUGAAUCAGCCUUGUCUGAAGCACGGAACCCAGGAUAAGCCGGCCAGUCAUUUGUGGAAGGAUUGCUUCAUCAUGAGGGAGUAUAGAAACUCUAAUUAUUUCUAGAACAAUCAUGGCCCGCAUGGCGGUUCAGGUUCCGGCUCUCAUGGACCUGGUUUUGGAGGUGGCGGUUCAAGCUCUAGCUUUUAAGGCCAAGGUAAUCAAGGUGGUUUCAAUUAGCAAUCUGGUCAAGGGAAUCGGCAGCAGCAGUCUGGUUAUCAGAGUAAUCCAAAGCAACUGAAUAGUGGUCAAUAUCAUGUGUUCACCACGAGCCUGUGCAAGCGAGAUCAGAAAAUCCAUAAGCAGGCGGUGAAUUUAGUUGAGCCGGUGGUGCCUCAUUAUUUGAGGUGGUCUGAGCAGCCUAUUGUAUGGAGCCGGGAGGAUCACCCACCUUGGGUUGACAAUCUAGGUCAGUUGGCAUUGGUGGUUUCUCCUCAAGUAGGAGGGUAUAAGCUUACAAAGGUGCUCAUGGAUGGGGGCAGCAGUAUCAAUAUCCUUUACUAUGAGACUUUUCGUCAUAUGAAUUUGACUGACAAAGAUCUUAAGGCGUCUUCUACAGUUUUCCAUGGGGUGGUGCCUGGUAAGUCAGUGUAUCCAGUGGGUGAGAUAACACUGGAGGUAGCUUUGGGAGAUGACCAUGAUUCCAGAGCUGAGAAAUUGAUCUUUGAGGUGGUUAAGAUCAAAAGCCCAUACCAUGCUUUGUUUGGGCGACCGGCUUACGCCAAGUUUAUGGCACGACCGUGUUAUGUUUAUUUGCAGCUUAAAAUGUCGGCUCAUAAGGGCACCAUCACGAUGCAUGGUGAUAGAAAGAUUGCUUUGGAUUGUGAAGAAGGUGAUGCUGCAUAUGCUGAGUCGGCUGGUGCUACAAAGGAGUUGAAGUUUUAUAAAGACAAUGGACCCGACGGAUAUGACGCCUUUGAAGAAGCCAACUACAGAAAAUGACCCCCUGUUGAAGUUUAAUCGGCAGAUGACACUAAGUUGGUUUAUUUUGUGCCCCGCGACUCGUCCAAGCAGUUCAACAUCAAUGCUAAUAUGGAUCAAAAAUAGGAAAGCACGCUCAUUGAGUUCAUCCGUGAGAACCGGGACAUCUUUGCAUGGAAACCUUCUGACAUGCCAGGUGUACCGAGGGAACUCGCUGAGCACACUCUUAAUGUGGAUCCAAAGUUUAAGCCGGUCAAGCAAUUUCUUCGUUGUUUUAAUGAAGAGAGACGAAAGGCAAUUGGUGAAGAAGUUGAAGGAAAUAUGCCCUAGAGGCAAUAAUAAAGUUAUUAUUUAUUUCCUCAUAUCAUGAUAAAUGUUUAUUAUUCAUGCUAGAAAUGUAUUACACGGAAACAUAAUACAUGUGUGAAUACAUAGACAAACAUAGUGACACUAGUAUGCCUCUACUUAACUAGCUCGUGAAUCAAAGAUGGUUAAGUUUCCUAACCAUAGACAUGAGUUGUCAUUUGAUUAACGGGAUCACAUCAUUAGGAGAACGAUGUGAUCGACUUGACCCAUUCCGUUAGCUUAGCACUUGAUCGUUUAGUAUGUUGCUAUUGCUUUCUUCAUGACUUAUACAUGUUCAUAUGACUAUGAGAUUAUGUAACUCCCGCUUACCGGAGGAACACUUUAUGUGCUACCAAAUGUCACAACGUAACUGGGUGAUUAUAAAGGUGCUCUACAGGUGUCUCCAAAGGUACUUGUUGAGUUGACGUAUUUCGAGAUUAGGAUUUGUCACUCCGAUUGUCGGAGAGGUAUCUCUGGGCCCUCUCGGUAAUGCACAUCACUAUAAGCCUUGCAAGCAAUGUAGCUAAUGAAUUAGUUACAGGAUGAUGCAUUACGUAACGAGUAAAGAGACUUGCCAGUAACGAGAUUGAACUAGGUAUUGAGAUACCGAUGAUCGAAUCUCGGGCAAGUAACAUACCGAUGACAAAGGGAACAAUGUAUGUUGUUAUGCGGUUUGACCAAUAAAGAUCUUCGUAGAAUAUGUAGGAGCCAAUAUGAGCAUCCAGGUUCCGCUAUUGGUUAUUGACCGGAGACGUGUCUCGGUCAUGUCUACAUAGUUCUCGAACCCGUAGGGUCCGCACUCUUAAAGUUAGAUGACAGUUAUAUUAUGAGUUUAUGUGUUUUGAUGUACCAAAGGUUGUUCGGAGUCCCGGAUGAGAUCACGGACAUGACGAGGAGUCUCGAAAUGGUCGAGACAUGAAGAUCAAUAUAUUGGACGACUAUAUUUGGACACCUGAAAGGUUUCGGGUGAGAUUGGGACAAUACCGGAGCUCCGGGAGGUUACCGGAACCCCCCGGGAGGUAUAUGGGCCUUAGUGGAAAGGAGGGUAAAGGAGCAAGGGAGGGGGCGCCCCCCCCAAGCCCAAUCCGAAUUGGGAGGCCCCCCCUUUUCCUUCCUCACUCCUCCUCUUCCUUCCCUCUCCCUCUCCAAAUAGGAAAGGAAGGAGUCCUACUCCCGGUGGGAGUAGGACUCCCCCCUUGGGCACGCCUCUCCCCUUGGCUGGCCCCCUCCUCCACUCCUUUAUAUACGGGGGAGGGGGGCACCCCAUAGACACAACAAUUGAUCAUUGAUCUCUUAGCCGUGUGCGGUGCCCCCCUCCACCAUAGUCCUCCUCGAUAAUAUCAUAGCGGUGCUUAGGCGAAGCCCUGCGUCGGUAGAACAUCAUCAUUGUACCACGCCGUCAUGCUGACAGAGCUCUCCCUCGACACUCGGCUGGAUCGGAGUUCGAGGGACGUCAUCGAGCUGAACGUGUGCAAGAACUCGGAGGUGACGUGCUUUCGGUGCUUGAUCGGUCGGGCCGUGAAGACGUAGGACUACAUCAACCACGUUGUGCUAACGCUUCCGCUUUCAGUCUACGAGGGUACGUGGACACACUCUCCCCUCUCGUUGCUAUGCAUCACCAUGAUCUUGUGUGUGCGUAGGAUUUUUUUUGAAAUUGCUACAUUCCCCAACAGUGGCAUCCGAGCCUAGGUUUUAUGCGUUGAUGUUAUAUGCACGAGUAGAACACAAGUGAGUUGUGGGCGAUACAAGUCAUACUGCUUACCAGCAUGUCAUACUUUGGUUGGGUGGUAUUGUUGGAUGAAGCGGCUCGGACCGACAUUACGCGUACGCUUACGCGAGACUGGUUCUAUCGACGUGCUUUGCACAUAGGUGGCUGGCGGGUGUCAGUUUCUCCAACUUUAGUUGAACCGAGUGUGGCUACGCCCGGUCCUUGAGAAGGUUAAAACAUCACUAACUUGACGAACUAUCGUUGUGGAUUUGAUGCGUAGGUAAGAACGGUUCUUGCUAAGCCCGUAGCAGUCACGUAAAACUUGCAACAACAAAGUAGAGGACGUCUAACUUGUUUUUGCAGGGCAUGUUGUGAUGUGAUAUGGUCAAGACGUGAUGCUAUAUUUUAUUGUAUGAGAUGAUCAUAUUUUGUAACCGAGUUAUCGGCAACUAGCAGGAGCCAUAUGGUUGUCGCUUUAUUGUAUGCAAUGCAAUCGCCCUGUAAUUGCUUUACUUUAUCACUAAGCGAUAGCGAUAGUCGUAGAAGCAAUAGUUGGCGAGACGACAACGAUGCUACGAUGGAGAUCAAGGUGUCGCGCCGGUGACGAUGGUGAUCAUGUCGGUGCUUCGGAGAUGGAGAUCACAAGCACAAGAUGAUGAUGGCCAUAUCAUAUCACUUAUAUUUAUUGCAUGUGAUGUUUAUCUUUUAUGCAUCUUAUCUUGCUUUGAUUGACGGUAGCAUUAUAAGAUGAUCUCUCACUAAAUUUCAAGAUAAAAGUGUUCUCCCUGAGUAUGGACCGUUGCCAAAGUUCCUCGUGCCCAGACACCACGUGAUGAUUGGGUGUGAUAAGCUCUACGUCCAUCUACAACGGGUGCAAGCCAGUUUUGCACACACAGAAUACUCAGGUGAAACUUGACGAGCCUAGCAUAUGCAGAUAUGGCUUCGGAACACUGAGACCAAAAGGUCGAGCGUGAAUCAUAUAGUAGAUAUGAUCAACAUAGUGAUGUUCACCAUUGAAAACUACUCAAUUUCACGUGAUGACCGGUUAUGGUUUAGUUGAUUUGGAUCACGUGAUCACUUAUAUGAUUAGAGGGAUGUCUAUCUAAGUGGGAGUUCUUAAGUAAUAUGAUUAAUUGAACUUAAAUUUAUCAUGAACUUAGUACCUGAUAGUAUUUUGCUUAUCUAUGUUUGUUGUAGAUAGAUGGCUCGUGCUGUUGUUCCGUUGAAUUUUAAUGCGUUCCUUGAGAAAGCAAAGUUGAAAGAUGAUGGUAGCAAUUACACGGACUGGGGCAACUUGAGGAUUAUCCUCAUUGCUGCACAAAAGAAUUACGUCAUGGAAGCACCGCUAGGUGCCAAACCUGCUAUAGGAGCAACACCAGAUGUUAUGAAUGUCUGGCAGAGCAAAGCUGAUGACUACUCAAUAGUUCAGUGUGCCAUGCUUUACGGCUUAGAAUCGGGACUUCAACGACGUUUUGAACGUCAUGGAGCAUAUGAGAUGUUCCAGGAGUUGAAGUUAAUAUUUCAAGCAAAUGCCCGAAUUGAGAGAUAUGAAGUCUCCAAUAAGUUCUACAGCUGCAAGAUGGAGGAGAAUAGUUCUGUCAGUGAGCAUAUACUCAGAAUGUCUGGGUAUAACAAUCACUUGAUUCAACUGAGAGUUAAUCUUCCGGAUGAUAGCGUCAUUGAUAGAAUUCUUCAAUCACUGCCACCAAGCUACAAGAGCUUCGUGAUGAACUAUAAUAUGCAAGGGAUGGAUAAGACAAUUCCCGAGCUCUUCGCAAUGCUAAAGGUUGCGGAGGUAGAAAUCAAGAAGGAGCAUCAAGUGUUGAUGGUCAAUAAGACCACUAGUUUCAAGAAAAAGGGCAAAGGGAAAAAGAAAGGGAACUUCAAGAAGAACAACAAGGAAGUUGCUGCUCGAGAGAAGAAAUCCAAGUUUGGACCUAAGCCUGAGACUGAGUGCUUCUACUUCAAGCAGACUGGUCACUGGAAGCGGAACUGCCCCAAGUAUUUGGCGGAUAAGAAGGAUGGCAAGAUGAACAAAGGUAUAUGUGAUAUACAUGUUAUUGAUGUGUACCUUACCAGAGCUUGCAGUAGCACCUGGGUAUUUGAUACUGGUUCCGUUGCUAAUAUUUGCAACUCGAAACAGGGACUACGGAUUAAAUGGACACUGGCUAAGGACGAGGUGACGAUGCGCAUGGGAAAUGGUUCCAAAGUCGAUGUGAUCGCCGUCGGCACGCUACCUCUACAUCUACCUUCAGGAUUAGUUUUAAACCUAAAUAAUUGUUAUUUGGUGCCAGCAUUGAGCAUGAACAUUAUAUCUGGAUCUUGUUUGAUGCGAGACGGUUAUUCAUUUAAAUAUGAGAAUAAUGGUUGUUCUAUUUAUAUGAGUAAUAUCUUUUAUGGUCAUGCACCCUUAAAGAGUGGUCUAUUUUUGAUGAAUCUCUAUAGUAGUGCUACACAUAUUCAUAAUGUUGAAGCCAAAAGAUGCAGCGUUGAUAAUGAUAGUGCAACUUAUUUGUGGCACUGCCGUUUAGGUCAUAUUGGUGUAAAGCGCAUGAAGAAACUCCAUACUGAUGGACUUUUGGAAUCACUUGAUUAUGAAUCACUGGGUACUUGCGAACCAUGCCUCAUGGGCAAGAUGACUAAAACGCCGUUCUCCGGAACUAUGGAGCGAGCAACUGAUUUGUUGGAAAUCAUACAUACUGAUGUAUGUGGUCCAAUGAAUGUUGAUGCUCGCGGCGGAUAUCGUUAUUUUCUCACCUUCACAGAUGAUUUGAGCAGAUAUGGGUAUAUCUACUUAAUGAAACAUAAGUCUGAAACAUUUGAAAAGUUCAAAGAAUUUCAGAGUGAAGUUGAAAAUCAUCGUAACAAGAAAAUAAAGUUUCUACUAUCUGAUUGUGGAGGAGAAUAUUUGAGUUACGAGUUUGGUUUACAUUUGAAGCAAUGCGGAAUAGUUUCGCAACUCACGCCACCCGAAACACCAUAGCGUAAUGGUGUGUCCGAACGUCGUAAUCGUACUUUACUAGAUAUGGUGCGAUCUAUGAUGUCUCUUACUGAUUUACCGCUAUCGUUUUGGGGUUAUUCUUUAGAGAUGGCCGCAUUCACGUUAAAUAGGGCACCAUCAAAAUCCAUUGAGACGACGCCUUAUGAACUGUGGUUUGGCAAGAAACCAAAGUUGUCGUUUCUUAAAGUUUGGGGCCGCGAUGCUUAUGUGAAAAAGCUUCUACCUGAUAAGCUCGAACCUAAUCGGAGAAAUGUGUCUUCAUAGGAUACCCAAAGGAAACUGUUGGGUACACCUUCUAUCACAAAUCCGAAGGCAAGACAUUUGUUGCCAAGAAUGGAUCCUUUCUAGAGAAGGAGUUUCUCUCGAAAGAAGUGAGUGGGAGGAAAGUAGAACUUGAUGAGGUAACUGUACCUGCUCCUUUAUUGGAAAAUAGUUCAUCACAGAAACCGGUUCCUGUGAUGACUACACCAAUAAGUGAGGAAGCUAAUGAUGUUGAUCAUGAAACUUCAGAUAAAGUUACUACAGAACCUCGUAGGUCAACCAGAGUAAGAUCCGCACCAGAGUGGUACGGUAAUCCUAUUCUGGAGGUCAUGUUAUUUGACCAUGGCAAACCUACGAACUAUGAGGAAGCGAUGAUGAGCCCAGAUUCCGCAAAAUGGCUUGAGGCCAUGAAAUCUGAGAUGGGAUCCAUGUAUGAGAACGAAGUGUGGACUUUGGUUGACUUGCCCGAUGAUCGGCAAGCCAUCGAGAAAAAAUGGAUCUUCAAGAAGAAGACUGAUGCUGAUGAUAAUGUUACUGUCUACAAAGCUCGACUUGUUGCGAAAGGUUUUAGACAAGUUCAAGGGGUUGACUACGAUGAGACUUUCUCACCCGUAGCGAUGCUUAAGUCUGUCCGAAUCAUGUUAGCAAUUGCCGCAUUUAUGAUUAUGAAAUUUGGCAAAUGGAUGUCAAAACUGCAUUCCUGAAUGGAUUUCUGGAAGAAGAGUUGUAUAUGAUGCAACCAGAAGGUUUUGUCGAUCCAAAGGAUGCUAACAAAGUGUGCAAGCUCCAGCUAUCCAUUUAUGGACUAGUACAAGCCUCUCGGAGUUGGAAUAAACGCUUCGAUAGUGUGAUCAAAGUAUAUGGUUUUUAUGGACUUUUGGAGAAGCCUGUAUUUACAAGAAAGUGAGUGGGAGCUCUAUAGCAUUUCUAAUAUUAUAUGUGGAUGACAUAUUAUUGAUUGGAAAUGAUAUAGAAUUUCUGGAUAGCAUAAAAGGAUACUUGAAUAAAAGUUUUUCAAUGAAAGACCUCGGUGAAGCUGCUUACAUAUUGGGCAUCAAGAUCUAUAGAGAUAGAUCAAGACGCUUAAUUGGACUUUCACAAAGUACAUACCUUGAUAAAGUUUUGAAAAAGUUCAAAAUGGAUCAAGCAAAGAAAGGGUUCUUGCCU